CUCCCUAUACGGCGAACUAUCCCCUCUUUCUUUUAUCUUUGGCUCAACUUCAGUCCUUUUUUUCCUUUGAUUUCCCGAAAGCUAUGGAGUUCCUCAGCUCAAUCGCGGGUCUGAUCCCCUGUUUCUAUGAUCACACCUCCAGGCAUACGCUCUACAUUCGUGAUCUGAAAAAAAAUCUCCGAGCCUUGAGCCAGAAAAUGGAGGAGCUCAACAACUUGUAUGAAGAUGUGACGGCAAGGGUUGAAGGUGAAGAGCAACGACAGAUGAGGCGCAGAAAGGAAGUGGGUGGCUGGAUCCGUGGAGUAGAAGAAAUGGUGGAAGAAGUUAACGAAAUUCUGCGAAGAGGCGAUCAAGAAAUCCAGAAGAGAUGUCUCAGAUGCUGUCCCAGGAAUUGUUGGUCUAGCUACAAGAUUGGGAAGGCAGUAAGCGAAAAGCUGGUUACCUUAUCUGAUCAAAUCGGCAGAGGACAUUUCGAUGUUGUAGCCGAGAUGCUGCCUCGUCCUCUAGUAGAUGAACUGCCCAUGGAGGAGACUGUGGGCUCAGAAUUGGCGUACGGCAGAAUCUGUGGGUUUCUCAAAGAUCCACAAGUGGGAAUUAUGGGAUUAUAUGGAAUGGGGGGUGUGGGCAAAACCACCCUCUUGAAGAAAAUCAACAAUGACUUCCUCACUACAUCCAGCGAUUUUGAUGUUGUGAUUUGGGAUGUGGUGUCAAAACCGCCCAACAUUGAAAAAAUUCAGGAAGUUAUUUGGAAUAAAUUACAAAUCCCACGUGAUAUAUGGGAAAUUAAAAGCACUAAGGAGCAGAAGGCUGCAGAAAUAUCGAGAGUUCUGAAAACAAAGAAGUUCGUGUUGUUGUUGGAUGAUAUUUGGGAGCGACUUGAUCUGCUAGAAAUGGGGGUCCCGCAUCCCGAUGCUCGAAACAAGUCCAAGAUAAUUUUCACGACCCGGUCACAAGACGUGUGCCACCAGAUGAAAGCUCAGAAGAGCAUAGAAGUGAUGUGUUUGUCAUCAGAAGCGGCUUGGACUUUGUUUCAGAAGGAGGUAGGAGAAGAAACAUUAAAGUCUCAUCCACAUAUACCGAGGCUUGCAAAGAUUGUUGCUGAAGAGUGCAAAGGUUUACCUCUGGCUUUGAUUACUCUUGGGCGAGCUUUGGCAGGUGAGAAAGAUCCCUCAAAUUGGGACAAGGUAAUACAAGAUUUGGGCAAAUUUCCAGCUGAAAUUUCGGGUAUGGAAGAUGAAUUGUUUCAUAGAUUAAAAGUCAGUUAUGAUAGAUUAUCUGAUAAUUUCAUCAAAUCUUGUUUUACAUAUUGGUCCUUAUUCUCUGAAGAUCGGGAGAUUUAUAAUGAAAACCUUAUAGAAUAUUGGAUAGGAGAGGGGUUUUUGGGUGAAGUUCAUGACAUACAUGAAGCGCGUAAUCAAGGCCAUAAAAUUAUUAAAAAACUAAAGCAUGCAUGUUUAUUAGAGAGUGGCGGUUUAAGAGAAACAAGAGUUAAGAUGCAUGAUGUGAUCCACGACAUGGCUUUGUGGUUAUAUUGUGAAUGUGGGAAGGAAAAGAACAAAAUUUUAGUAUACAAUAAUGUUUCUAGACUGAAGGAAGCUCAAGAAAUUUCAGAAUUAAAAAAAACGGAGAAGAUGUCAUUAUGGGAUCAGAAUGUUGAGUUCCCUGAAACAUUGAUGUGUCCCAAUCUCAAGACUCUAUUUGUGGACAAAUGUCAUAAGUUGACGAAAUUUCCAAGUAGAUUCUUUCAAUUCAUGCCUCUAAUAAGAGUUUUGGAUUUGUCAGCCAAUUAUAAUUUAAGUGAGUUACCUACUAGUAUUGGUGAAUUGAAUGACUUGAGAUAUCUUAAUUUGACAUCCACAAGAAUAAGAGAGUUGCCCAUUGAGCUAAAAAAUUUGAAAAAUUUGAUGAUUCUGCGUCUAGAUCAUUUGCAAUCCCUUGAAACUAUCCCACAAGACCUCAUAUCAAAUCUCACAUCUUUAAAGUUGUUCAGCAUGUGGAAUACCAAUAUUUUCAGUGGAGUUGAAACCUUGCUUGAGGAGUUGGAGUCCUUGAAUAACAUCAAUGAGAUAGGAAUCACCAUAUCUAGUGCUCUUUCAUUGAACAAAUUAAAGAGAAGCCACAAAUUACAGAGGUGUAUAAGGCAUCUACAGUUACAUAAAUGGGGGGAUGUAAUCACACUUGAACUAUCAUCUUUGUUUUUAAAAAGAAUGGAGCAUUUGAUUGACCUUGAAGUAGACCAUUGUGAUGAUGUGAAAGUAAGUAUGGAAAGAGAAAUGAAACAAAAUGAUGUUAUUGGUCUCUCAAACUACAAUGUUGCAAGGGAGCAAUACAUUUACAGCCUCCGUUACAUAGGAAUAAAAAAUUGUUCAAAAUUGUUAGACUUAACAUGGGUUAUUUAUGCUUCAUGUCUAGAAGAACUUUAUGUUGAAGAUUGUGAAUCAAUAGAACUAGUACUACACCAUGAUCAUGGAGCUUAUGAAAUUGUGGAAAAAUUGGACAUAUUCUCAAGGCUCAAAUGCCUCAAGCUCAAUAGACUGCCAAGAUUGAAGAGCAUCUACCAGCAUCCUCUGCUCUUUCCCUCGCUUGAAAUCAUCAAGGUGUAUGAUUGCAAAAGCUUAAGGAGCCUCCCAUUUGAUUCCAACACUUCGAACAACAAUCUUAAGAAAAUUAAAGGAGGGACAAAUUGGUGGAAUCGGUUGAAGUGGAAAGAUGAAACCAUCAAGGACUGUUUUACUCCUUACUUCCAAGUCCAUGAGGCUGAAGCAUAUUUUGCAGAAGAGUUUGAAACUGGCAGCAUAGAUGAUGAUAUGCAGGAACAGCUGGUAUCAAAUUAAUUUCUAUCCAUCUUUCAGGUAUUAAUUAACUUUUAUGUUAUAUUUGAAAAAUACUUUUCUUUCCUUAUUCAUUCUUUUGUGGAAAUUUUUACUUUACCUAUGUCAAAAGUGCAUCAAAGUUUCAAACAUCAUAAUAACUUUCAAUGUUUGAUCUGUAUAGAUUACUUCCAUAAUUUUCAGCCUAGUCCUAAUAACUUUCAAUCUAUUUUUUUCCCUUUUAUUUUCUUUCUCUUCUAUGUUGCUUUGAAUCUUUUGAGAUCCAAACAAAGCCAAAUCUACACCCUUCCAAGAUCUUGGAUGGGUAAUUCAAUUCUAGUUGUUCCUUGUGAAAUAAUUGUUAUAAAAGGUUCACCCAGAUGGCACUUUGAAGGAGGUCUAUUGUUUAAAAAUGGGAUGACAUUCCCUGUUGGUUACUUGAGAACUUGAAAAUAAUUCAGAGUUUUAAACUAUAUUAUUUAUUUGUCUUAAUUUUUUUGAUCAAUUUCAAUCUAUAAACAGAAACAGAUCAACUUCUUUUCAUCUUAGUUCCAUAUAUUUCAAGCUGAACAACAGGGUUUCACAACUACUAUAUCUAUAGAUAUUCCAUUAAAGAAUUAUUGCCUUGUUAAGUUACAAGGGUAUUUUAUCUUCUAUUGUUAAGUUACCUCUAUCUGGUUGGCUCUGAUCACUUUUUGCUUUUCUAUUUUCUUUUUUUCAUUUCUCUUUUUGUUGCAUUCAGGGUUCGGGUUGGUUCUAGCAGUUCUGGCAACAGCCGGGUUUUCAUUUCUUUAUAUAUAGACUGCGUUGCUGCCGUUUUUGCUGAUUGGAGAUGUCCUGCUCUUUUUCCUUCUACUUGGAAUCUGGGUUUGGUCUGAGGUCUCUGGUAUGUUUCAUCAGGGAUGCGCAAAUGCUGAUUCUCAGAGCAUUGAUAUUUCAUGGUGCUGAGACUGCUGGAAAGGUUGGUGUACUUAUGUGAUGGUUGCAGCAUCCUUUUUGUUUCUGGAUCUCAGGAAUUGGAUUCUGUGGGCUGCCUUUGGCUUUUGAUGUUGGGUGGGUUUUGUUUUGUUAAUUUGUUGAGGCCGGUGCAGUGUGGUGGGUCUGAAGCUGCUGCUGGGUCAAUGCGGAUGUGAUAUGGGAAUGCUUUUGGAUCUUUGGGCUUCAGCAGGUUGAUUAUGUUUCCUCUGCUUACAAAUGUUUUAUCACCAGAUCCUAUGUGGGGAUGGGAUGGAUUGUUGUGAUAGUGAUGGUGUGGGUUUUGUUUUGUUUAUUUGUUGAGGCUGGUGCAUGUUUUAUCACCAGAGCACCGCUUAUUUCCUUGAGUUUGAUAUCCCACUGUCAAGUGUAUUGUCCAUAAUGUUAUGGUGUGUGUGUGUGUGUGGAUUGGAAUGUUUUGUGAGAACAACUGGUUGAUUUUAACAUUUGAGGUUGUUAAUGGUGAUUUUUCUUAUUAUGAUGAACAAGGUGGAAGUAUAAGCAGAGUUCUGAGGACUCAAACAACAACAUAGACUAGAAUUUCUCAUUUUUCAUUCCGGAGCAUUUAGAUCUCCAAACAGCAACCUGACUGAACAUGACCACAAAACUCCUCCGGCGCCACCAAUUUCCUCCACCUGCGACUCUUCAAAUCCAACAUGUAAGCCACAUGGGCUUCACCAAAGCUUCUGCACCCAAUCACUAAAGCUUCCCCUCCCAUGUUGUCAUGUAAGCUGUGUGGCGAAUCUCAGCUGGCAAUUUGUCUACUGUCUGCCAUCUGCAGUCCUGCAGUGCCACCACCUCACCCGCAUGACACAUGUACAUCCCCAUGUCACCACCGUCUACGCAGGUCCUCGGGCACGUGCUGUCUUCCAGGAAAUCCUCCUCUGCCUUGUCCCACUCCCAGUUGGCAAAAUCGAAGGCUUCCGCGCUCCUCUCGAACCUGCCUUGCAUCUCUGUGCAGUACCCGCCGAUGACAUGGAACUUACCACGGUGGAAUACUCCUUUGCAUUCAUCGCUCUCCCUUGCCAUGUCAGGCAGUGGGGCCCACUCAUCCUUUGCCACGUCAUACACCAGCGCUGACUUCAAUGCAUUCUUCUCACCAACAUACACCACCCGCUCCAAACCCGACGCCGCACAUCCAAAGAACGACCUCCGCGCACCUGGCAUAUCCGCUCCCCGCCGCCACGUCGCCGACAGGAAAUUGUAAAUAAACACAGAGCUCGAAACCUCCCAUGUAUCCGGAUCCCACCCGCCCACCACCACAAGCUCCGACUCGACUCCCACCAGCUGACAGAACAUCGGCAACCCAUCGGAAAACCCAGGAACCGGCGGUAACUCUCUCCAAUUACCCGUUUCGAGGUCCAAAAGCGUGACCCGAUAAGCAAGCGUAGGACAUUUCAUCCCACCAGAACUCCGAUUCGGGACCACCCGGGCCUGCGCCUUUGCGAAAACGGGUCGAGUAUACCCUGCCGUUUUCCUCUGUCGGAAAAAAUCAGGGUCCUCAACCUCACUCUUCCAAACCCUACAAACCGCGGCGAUGGUGGAGAAUUUUUCAUAAUAAACGCGAAUUAAACAUUGGCGGGCAACGUCGUCCGGGAGACCCGGAAUGAAGUCCAUGAACAAAAAAAAAACAGCAAGACUGUGGUGCUAUUAAUGGAGAGAAACCCAACCAGAGAAAUAUUUGAAUAAAUUGAGAUGGGGGGUUGAAAUAAAUUGAGAGAGCAGCUAGCUACAGAAGAAGAAGAUGAUGAAGAGAGAAACAGUUGAAUAUAAGAUGAUGAUGAGGAGGAGGAUUGCCUUUUAUAGAGCUUGCCAACAAGACUGUAAUACAGGUUUAAAAAAGGUUAGGCGUUCUAGAAAGUUAAAACGAAGGCGACCAUAGGUAAUGCCAAUACGGAAUACCAUACAAACAGCCGUUGUUUCAGUGUGAAUGGCUCCCUAGAAAAUCUGAGUCCAUGUGGAUGGGUCUGUAUUUCUCACUAUAAUUUCAGCUCAAAGGUACGUUUUAUCCUGUGCCAUCUCACACUCAAAAAUUAAUAAUUAAAAAAUCCACGUAAUCAACAUUUGAGUUGAGCCACCGUUAUAUAUCACUUAAAAAAAUUAUAUAAUAUCAUUUUACUUAUAUAAUUAUUUUUUUUAAAAACAUGUGAAAACAAUUAAAUUGUGUUUUCAAAAAAUAGGAUGUUUUAUUUAUAUUUUUAGAAAUAAAAAAUUAUUUUUUAUUUCCUUAUUGUAAAAUAUAUUUUCCAUUUUUUUUUAAUUCUUGAAAAUAGGAAACCAUUUUUUAAAAUAGCUUCUAAACAUAGUCUAAAUUUUUAAAAUUUUUCUAAAUCCUGUUUUUCUAAGAAAUGAUCCUUCUAAAAAUAUAAAUCCGUUUUUCCAAACAUAUCUUAUCUCCUAGUAUUUAUUAUUAUUAUUAUUAAAUUGAAAAAUUAAAACAAAAAUUGAUAUCUAAUCUAUUAAAAUUUUAUUUUAAAAUUUUUGCUACUUGUUUUGUUAGAACUAUCUAAUAUAUUUUUUCAACUUUUAAAAAUUAAAAUUAAAUUUAUUUUUUAAUUUUUCUUUUUGUUAUAUUCUACAUUUGAAUGCCAAAAUAAUAAUAAUAAUAAAGAAAGAAAAAUGAUAUGAAAGUCACAAAACCUUAUCAACUCAAAUAAGAGCAUUGGAGUUCCUAAGGUCAGAUUUUCAUUGAAAAUUUAAAGGGGAAAAAAAAAGUGAAAAAUAGCUUUUUUUUUUGUAUUUGAUUUUAUGAUGGAAAAUUAGGAAGAAAAUUAAAUAUAAUUAAAAUUAGUUAAAUUUAUAUAUUUUAAAUUAUUUAAUCAUUAAACUAAGUGAAAUGAGUUUAAAUAAUAAUAAUAAUAAUAAUAAUAUUUAAAUUAUUUAUUAAAAUAAAAUAAUUUAUUAAUUUAAUUUUCAUUCACUUUUUAUUUUUUUUUUCUAUUUUCUUUCUAUUUCAUUUUUUCUAAAAGCAAACACACCCGACAAAAAAUGUUUUGACUUUCAUUAAAAUUUGAAGUCUUAGUAUAAUACUUUCACAUUUAUUUUAAUGCAAAUUAAAAGCCAAUACAAGCAUAUUUGGAGUGUGUUUGAAAUAUUUUCCAAUUUUUUUACUUUAAUUAGAAGUUAAAAUUGAAUCAAACUCAAAAUUUUUAAAGGAUAAUAUAUGUAAAAUAAAGUUUUCACAAUCGAACAACAUUUUUCUAAUUUCUAUAUUAAGCUUUUUUUUAAAAUAGUCAUAAGAUUUUUGAACAAAAAUAGUGAAAAAAAAAAACCCCUUAUUGAAGUUAAAAAAAGAAACUGUUAUCUUCAUAGAAGUCUUACCAAAUAAGAAUCUAGCCUUACGGAAAAAGAAAAAAAAAAAAAAAGGUGGGUCAGUGCCCACUAGAUAAUGCAUUAGACCACCGUUUGACCCAACUUGAUUCUACCUUCAUGAUUUAUCCUUUGAAUUGUAGGAAGAUGAAUUUGGACAAAUCAAAUCAAUUUAUGUCCUAAUUGAUGCCAAAAAUAUCCAUAUAAUUCAAAUAAAUAUAAAUUUGAUAGUGAGAUAAAAGGGUAUGCCGUUUUUUUAUGGGUGUUGCCAGCAUUAUUAUAAUUUAUAGCUAUUUUAAAGAAAAAUUAAAUUAAAAUUAUCAAAAUAUAUUUUAUAUUUGCAAAAGCUAAAAGCAUAACCAAGAAAAAAUCUUUAUGCUUUAUAUUUUAAAAAUUAGUUAAAGCAAAAGCAUAUCCAAAUCAGCCCCACACAUCAAAUAAAGCUAAAAAUGAAAUUGACUAAUCAUUUUUUUACUGGCAAACCUUUUUGACUUUUUUCUUUUACUGUGCCAAUGAGAAAAAUGAUUCAUAUUAAAAGUGAUCAAAUUAAUUAAUUAAAAGAUUACAGCAUCCUUGCCCAGGAGGAGUUUAUCUCAGGAGGCUUUGUUUCUUGGCUUGAAGUGUACGUUGCUCACUACUUCCUUCAUGCGAUUCUCUGGCCUUUUAUGCUGGAGGUUGACUGGUACACAUCAGCCUGCCGCUUGCUACCUGAUUGGUGAUUGUGAAUGCUUUUGGGUCUUGCUGGUUGCUUGUGUUUCCUCUGCUUACAAAUGAAAUAUCACUAUAUAUAUUCUGGGAAGAUAGGAUGGAACUGCAUUUUCAAAGGAUGGAACAUAGUUUACAAACUUGGAUUUUGUUCCUCCCUUCAAAUUUUGAUCACUCAUUAAUGAAAUUUUUUCGUUCAUUUUUUUUUUUUUGGGAGAAAAAAUGGUGUUAAUUUGUUAAUGGCAAUUUGCUGCUGAUUUUGCUGGGUUUGAAAUGUUCUGCUCUCUUUCUGUUGGUGCUGUUGGUGUUGGCGUUUGCUUAAUUGGUGCUUGUCAGAAUUUUUUUAGUAAUAUUAUUUGUAGGAUAUUCUUAGAAAAAGGUAAAUGGUAAUAGCAUCUCAUUCAUUUAUUUUUUUAAAAAAAAAUAUUAUAAAUGGUAGAAGUUACAUGAAUAAUUCAAAAUUUGGCAAUAAAAAUACAAUUCAAUCCCACCAUGACCAAUCAGAAUUGUUUAAAGAAUAAUGUAGUGGUGAUGAAUGCAAGCAUAAAACCAUUGUGGAGCCAAGAUUCAAGGGGCAUAAAACCAUUGUGGAGCCAGGAUUCAAGCAUAAAACCAUUGUUGGUCUAGCUACAAGAUUGGGAAGGCAGUCAGCGAAAAGCUGGUUGCUGUAUCUGGUCAAAUCGGCAAAGGACAUUUCAAUGAUGUAGCCGAGAUGCUGCCUCGUCCUCUAGUAGAUGAACUGCCCAUGGAGGAGACUGUUGGCCUAGAAUUGGCGUAUGGCAGAAGCUGUGGGUUUCUCAAAGAUCCACAAGUGAGAAUUAUGGGAUUAUAUGGAAUGGGGGGCGUGGGCAAAACCACCCUCUUGAAGAAAAUCAACAAUGACUUCCUCGCUACACCCAGCGAUUUUGAUGUUGUGAUUUGGGUUGAAGCAUCAAAAAUUAAAAAAAUUCAGAAAGUUGUUUGGAAUAAAUUGCAACUCUCACGUGAUGGAUGGGAAAGUAGAAGCACUAAGGAGGAGAAGGCUGCCGAAAUAUUGAGAGUUUUGAAAACAAAGAAGUUCGUGUUGUUGUUGGAUGACACAUGGGAGCGACUUGAUCUCCUAGAAAUAGGGGUCCCCCAUCCCGACGCUCAAAAUAAGUCCAAGAUAGUUUUCACAACCCGAUCACAGGAUGUGUGCCACCAAAUGAAAGCUCACAAGAGUAUAGGAGUGGCAUGUUUGCAUGUCGCCAGAAGUGGCUUGGACUUUGUUUCAGAAGGAAGUAGGAGAAGAAACAUUAAAGUCUCAUCCACAUAUACUGAGUCUUGCAAAGACUGUUGCUGAAGAGUGCAAAGGUUUACCUCUUGCUUUGAUUACUCUUAGGCGAGCCUUGGUGGGUGAGAGAGAUCCCUCAAGUUGGGACAAGGUAAUACAAGAUUUGAGCAAAUUUCCAGCUGAAACUUCAGGUAUGGAAGAUGAAUUGUUUCAUAGAUUAAAAGUCAGUUAUGAUAGAUUGUCUGACAAUGCCAUCAAAUCUUGUUUUACAUAUUGUUCCUUAUUCUCUAAAGGUUGGUGGAUUUCAAAUGAAACCCUUAUGGAAUAUUGGAUGAUUGAGGGAUUUUUGGGUGAAGUUCAUGACAUACAUGAAGUGCGUAAUCAAGGGCAUAAAAUUUAAAAAAAAAUUAAAGCAUGCAUGUUUAUUGGAGAGUUGUGGUUCAAGAAAACAAAACAUUAUGAUGCAUGAUGUGAUCCACGACAUGGCUUUAUGGUUAUCUUGUGAAUGUGGGGAGGAGAAGAACAAAAUUUUAGUAUACAAUGAUGUUUCUAAGCUGAAGGAACCUUAAGAAAUUCCAAAAUUGAAAGAGACAAAGAAGAUGUCAUUAUGGGAUGAGAAUGUUGAGGAGUUCCCUAAAACAUUGGUAUGUCCCAAUCUCAAGAUUAGUGGCUUGUGAUAAGUUGAAGAAAUUUCCAAGUGGAUUUUUUCAAUUGAUGCCUUUAAAGUUUUGGAUUUGUCAAAUAAUUAUAAUUUAAGUGAGUUACCUACUGGGAUCGGUAAAUUGGGUGCCUUGAGAUAUCUUAAUUUGUUAGCCACAAAAAUAAGAGAGUUGCCUAUUGAACUUACAAAUUUGAAAAACCUAAUGACUUUGCUUUUGGAGAAUAGGAAAUUCCUGGAAUUAAUUAUUCCACAAGAACUGAUAUCAAGUCUCAUAUCUUUAAAGUUGUUCAUCACAAUCGAUACCAAUAUUUCAAGUAGAGUUUCAGAAAGCUUGUUGGAUGAGUUAGAGUCCUUGAAUGGCAUCAGUGAGAUAUGUAUCACCAUAUGUACUACUCAUUCAUUCAACAAAUUAAAGAGUAGUCGCAAAUUGCAAAGGUGCAUAAGUCAAUUCGAGUUGGAUAAAUGUGGGGAUAUGAUCUCACUUGAACUACCGUCUUCAUUUUUGAAAAGAAUGGAGCAUUUGCGAUGGCUUUGUAUAUUUGAUUGCGAUGAAUUAAAGGACAUAAAAAUUGAAGGGGAAGGAGAAGGGACACAAAGGGAUGCGACUCUCCAAAACUACAUUGCUAUAAGGGAGAACUACUUUUGUGCCCUUUGUAACCUAUAUAUUUUUCAUUGUUCAAAAUUGUUGAACAUUACAUGGCUUGUUAGUGCUCCAUAUCUUGAGGAACUUACUGUUGGAGAUUGUGAAUCAAUAGAACAAUUGAUAUGUUAUGGAGUAGAGGAAAAAUUGGACAUAUUCUCAAGGCUCAAAUACCUUAAGCUCAACGAGCUGCCAAAAUUGAAGAGCAUCUACCAGUAUUCGCUGCUCUUUUCCUCACUUGAAAUCUUGAAGGUGUAUGAUUGCAAAAGCUUAAGGAGCCUCCCAUUCGAUUCCAAUACUUAACAAUAAUCUAAAGAAAAUUAAAGGAGAGACAAGUUGGUGGAAUCAAUUGGAGUGAAUCGAUGAAACUAUCAAGUAUUCUUUUACUCCAUAUUUCCGAAUCGACCAAGCUGAAGCAUACUUAACUGAGGAGUCCGAAACUGGUGGCAUAGAUGAUAUACAAGAGCAAUUGAUAUCAAAUUAAUUUCUUUCAGGUAUUAAUUAACUUUUAUGCUAUAUUUGAAAAAUAAUUUUUUUCCACACUCCCCAUUCAUUUGUGGAAAUUUUUACUUUACCGAUGUCAAAGUGCAUCAAAGUCUCAACAUCAUAGUAACUUUCAAUGUUUGAUGUAUAUGGACUACUUCCAUAAUUUUCAGCCUAAUCUUAAUAAUUUUGGUGUGGUUAUAAUUUUUUUCUUUUUUAUUUUUCUUUUUCGUCCUUCUAAUCUUAAGCCUUCAUUUUGAUGACAAACAUAAUUAAGAAAGGAAAAAAAAAAUGUAAGAAAUCCAAAUCUAAAUCUAUAUAUAUAUAUAUUUUUAUCUCUAUCUGAUUGGCUCUGAUCAGUUUUUGCCUUUUUUUUUUUUUUCAUUUCUCUUUUUGUUGCAUUCAAGGUUGGGCCUUGUUCUAGCAGUUCUAGCAACAGCCGGGUUUUGAUCGUUUUUAUAUAGACUGUGUUGUUGGAACUCCAUUUUGCUUGUAUCCAAUUAUUAGACAGGAAUCGCAUGUUGAAUCAUAUGAAGAAAUUAUGCCAAACAUUUCUAUAGAAAGGGAACAUACAGAAUCUGAACUAACCUGAUUCCAUUUUGAGUGUUGAAUGAAUAAGGUAUGGAUCUUCUAAGGCUGUGGAGGGCACCACCUCUUUCUGAAUUCUCUCUGACGAUGGAGCAGGAGAGAAAACAAGUCUAUUAUUAUUUCAAGUGAUGUGAUUAGACUGAACAGACACUUAGCCUUUGGUUUUAUACCCUCCUGCCUUAGGGACCAUACCCUUUGGCUAUUGGGCCUCACGAGUCUUAGGCCCAUCAUCUAAGGCCCGUGAUGGCAAUGGGCUGUACACAUAAGGUGACCCAUACUAUGGAAAAUUGAUACAAAAUAAAUAUCAAAAGGCGAAUAGCUUAGUCAUGUAUCAUUGUUAAAUAUGUGUGAGUCCAUAUCUUAACAUGUGUUGUUGUUGUUUUUGCUGAUGGUUGAUGUCCUGCUCUUUUUCCUUCUACUUAGUAUUUGGGUUUGGUCUGAGGUCGAUCUAGGUAUGUUUGAUCAGAGAGGCAUAAAUGCUUAUUCUCGGAGCAUUGAUAUUUCAUGGUGCUGAGACUGCUGGGAAGGUUGGUGUACUUAUGAUGGUUGCAUCAUCCUUUUUGUUUCUGGAUCUCAGGAAUUGGAUUCUGUGGGCUGCCUUUGGCUUUUGAUGUUGGGUGGGUUUUGUUUUGUUAAUUUGUUGAGGCUGGUGCAGUGUGGUGGAUCUGAAGCUGCUAGUAUGCUGCUGCUGGGUCAAUGUCAAUGUGAUAUGGGAAUGCUUUUGGGUCUUUGGGCUUCAGCUGGUUGCUUGUGUUUCCUCUGCUUACAAAUGUUUUAUCACCAGAUCCUAUGUGGAGAUGGGAUGGAUUGUUUUAAUAGUGAUGGUGUGAGGGUGUGAUAUAAUCCUGUCAACAGAGCCACAUGCUUUGGUUCAUAUACCAGAGCACUGCAUACUUGAGUUUGAUAUCAUAUCCCACUCCCAAAGUGUGUCGUGCAUAAUGUAAUGUAAACAAGUUUCAACUUUCAUCCAUUGUGGAUUGAAAUGUUUAAUUUGGGAGAAAAACUGGUUGAUUUGUAACAUUUGAGGGUGUUAAUGGUGAUUUUUCUUAUUAUUAAUUGUGAUUGAAAAGAAAGUUGAUGAACAAGGUGGAAGUAUAAGCAGAGAGUUCUGAGGACUCCUAAUGUGGUACAUUUUCUCAAGCAUAUUUCUUCCCCAAUAAAAAGGAAAACUUGGGUUCACUUGUGCGAUGGUUUUGGCAGUUGGCACUAACUGAUCAAUGAAAGAGAGAUCCAGGUUUAUCACUGAUGAAUUAAAAUGCUUUGUUAUUGUUGCUUAGUUAAAAAAGUUGCGGUUCAGUUUGCUAAUCUAUUGAUAUCUGUUGCAGUGAUUCUGCUGCUGAUGAACAUCAAAGACAAUCAAUAGGUGCAGGUGAUGCCAUCUCAUCUGCUCAAUCAUCUCAAGUAUUACAGCCUGCUCGCUCAGGGGCCAGGGGACGUGCUUCAAUGGCUGAUAUUGUGAGGAGGGGCAGACCAGGGACCAGGAGACAUGUUUCAAUGGCUGAUGUUGUAGGGAUGGGCGGACCUGGUGCCAAUACUUCCAGCCUGCCAAUUACGUCAACUGGAACUUCUCCCCCUCUUGUUGGGGCAGUACCAGAACAAUGUGGUGUGCCCAAUACUUCCAGCCCGCUAAUUACAUUAGAUGAAACUUGUUUCCCACCUCUUGGAAGAACACCAAAACGAUCCUCUUACCGUGUCACUACUCCCUUUGUUCUGCCACCAGUGGAGGCAGAACCACACCAAGAUUUGCAUUCUCCAAAUCCUUGGUAUGUGUUGGAGAUAAGUCAUGACUCAUGAGCCUUGCAUUACUGAUGAAUGGCCCACCACUGAUUAGCCAACAGCACAUAAUGGCUUUUUUAGGUGGCUCACCUGCCUUAGAAACAGAGAUAUUCUAACCCAUCUAACUUGUACAGUGAUACAGCUGAAAUGUCCCAGGACUGCCGGCCAGAUGAGGUCCAAGCAUCUGUAUCCAGUGAACAGUGGGCAGAGUAUAGCGCUGCAGGUGCGUCUUAUAGAGCUUGCCAACGAGACUGUAGUACAGGUUUAAAAAAGGUCAGGCGGUCUAGAAAGUUAAAAUGAAGGCGACCAUAGGUUAUGUCAAUACACAAGACCAUACAAACGGCCAUUGUUUCUAUAUUUUGUUAUUUGUUUUUAAUGUGAUUGGUUCCCUAGAAAAUCUGAUGUGACCCUGGUUCAUGAUGCCCAAAAUGGAAAUCAUGCGAGUCCAUGUGGAUGGGUCUAUAUUUAUCACUCUUUUGAAAAUUCAUCACCCAUCAAAAUGAUCAAAUUUCAUAAUCUAAGCUUGAAAAUACAUCUUAUCAUUUGCCUUCUCACUCUCAAAAAUUCAAAAUAAAAAAUUCCACAUAAUCAAUACAUUUUGGAUUUUAAUUAUUUUAAUCCAUUCUAUCUUCAUUAUCUAAGUCCAACUUCUACUGUCAGUAAAAGUAAAACUUCAUUUCAGGAAGAGAGAAAUUGAUAAGUUUUAACAAAUAAGUUUAAAUACAUUUUUUAUUUUUAUUUAAUUUAAAAUUUUAUAUAACAUACCAAAAUUUUAAAAUGUUUAUAUUAAAAAUAUAAUGACUUAAAAUUAUUUAAAAAAUGAGAUAUCAAAAAAAUUAUUAUCUUAAAUUUAAAAAAUUAAUGUAAUUUUUUUAUAAAAAAAAAAACAUAAUAUAAAAAAUAUAUAUUGGAGGAGCAGAAUAAUUGAGAGAGAAGCAACAAAACGUUAAGUACAAAGUGGGGAAAUGCAACUAAUGAAGUGGGUCCAAAAGGUUGAAAGAUAAGAGGAUACCUUAACAAUGUCAUUUGGGCAACAUUAAGUUAAUUGAUCCUAAUCAAUGCAAAAUACCAUGAAUCUAAAGUUCACAUCAUAGCAACAUAGAGAGGGAGUUCAAUUUCAAUACAAAAUACAAAAAGUGUAAAACUAGAUAUUAAUAUUAAGACAUCAUACUAAUUAAAUAAGUUUCAUUUUUGUCAAAAAAAUAUAUAUAUAUCUAGUUCCCAAAAAUAUCAAGGAAAAAAAUAUAAAAAAUAUUUUUCUUCAUAUUUGGUUUUACUAUGAUAAAUUCGAGAUAAAAUCAAAUAUAAUUGAAAUUUUAAAUAUUUUAAAUUAUUUAAUCUUUAUAUAAAAAUAAAGUUAAAAUAAGUGAAAUGACUUCAAAAUAAUAUAUAAAAAAUAAAAUUAAUUUAUUAGUUUUAAUCCUAUUUUUUAUUUUCAUUGGUUUUUUGUCUUUGGAUUUUUUUCUUCUUCAUUUUCUUUUUCUCAUAUUUUUCCUCAAUCAAACAUACCAAAAAAAAAAAAUUGUUUUAACUUUCAUUAAAAUUCAAAGUCUUAAUAAUACUUUCACAUUUUUUUUUAUUCAAAUUAGAAGAAAAUACAAAUAUUUGGAAUGCCUUUGAAAUAGUUUCCUAUUUUUCACUUUAACUAAAAGUUAAAAUUGAAUCAAAAUCAUAAUUUUUAAAAGAUAAUAUUGGUAUUAAAUAUAUGAAAGAGUUCUUAGCAUAAAUCAAAAUAAAGUUUUUACAAGGAACAACAAUUUUUUUAAUUUCUAUAUUAAAUUUCUUGUUAAGUGGUCAUAAGUUUUUUAAACGAAAAUAGUAAAAAAAAAAAAAAACAUAUGAUUGAUACCAAGAUAAAUUAUGAAUCCUUUAAAGUGAUCCACUACACUUUUUUGGGGUGGAAAUUCAGUCAUUAAUACAUGUACUUGAUCUGGGGGUGCCCUACAAUUCAAGUCAAUGAAUUUGGACAAAUCAAAUCAAUUUUUUUCCCAAUUGAUACCAAGGAAUAUCCAUAUGAUUCAAACAAUAUUUAUAUUGUUUGUUUGGAUUUUGCCUAAAGUAUUCAUGAAUGUGUCCAAAUAAUAUGCUUAUCAAUGGCACUACUAAUUUUUGCUUCCCUUUUUUUUUUUUUUUUUUUUUCAUUUUUUGUUUGUUUUGAAUUGGUACUUCCUUUCUCAUUCAUUCUACAUUCUUUUUUUUAAAAACAUUUGUCUCUUUUGCAUACAUCCUAAAAAGCCCAAAGUGUCUUUAUUAUUAUUAUUAUUAUUUUUAAAAAAAGAACUUAAUAAAAUCUUUUGCUUCAAUUUAUCUUAAAAUGAAAAUAAAAAAUAAAAUUUUAUUAUUAAAGUUUUAUUUUGAUUUAUAGAUAAAGCUAUUUCAUAUUUUAUAAAUCUCUUCCUAUAUUCAUUUUGUUCUUUGCAAAUUAUAAUUUCACUCACUUCAACUUUGAAAAAAAAAAAAAUUAUAGCAAAUUAUGUUUUAAUCCGCUUUCCAAUUGGAAAAUACUAAUAAUGCAACCCAUAUCUGUCUAAACUUAGUGCAUAUAAUAUUACUUUUCAAUGGACUUGAAAAAUAUUUAAAAACCAACAACUCCAAAGUCAAUUAUCUCAAUUAUGGAGUGUAAUGGUUUCCAAAAGAUUAAAGCAAGUGUGAAGAUCCCUAUAAUGUUUUUGAGUGUAAUGGUGUUUCCAAAAGAUAUAAGUAAGGAUGAAAAUAUCGGUAAUCAUGAAUAUAUCGGUAUUUUGAUUUUACGGAUAUAUCGGUGGGUAUUUUGACAUAAAAUAUCAGUAGACCUAAAAUUGACUAAAACUUAUAAAAAUAUAAAAUAAAACUUUUAGAAAUGAAAUUAAAAGUACAAUAGACAUUUUAAAAUUAUUUUUGUUGAAUAAAUUAAUGUAUAUAUAUAAAAUAAAACUUUUAGAAAUGAAAUUAAAAGUAUAAUAGACAUUUUACAGUUAUUUUGUUGAAUAAAUUAAUAUAUAUAAAAUAUUGUACGUGUCAAUAAAAAAUAUAAAUUUGAUAAGUAUAUAUUGAUUAUUAAAUUAUAUCAAAUAUUAUUUGGUGAUUAUAUUGUGAUAUUUGAUUAUAAUAUAUUUCGGUGGAUAUUUUGACACAAAAUAUAUGUAGACUUAAACUUGAUCAAAACUUAUAAAAAUAUAAAAUAAAACUCUUAGAAAUGAAAUUAAAAGCAUAAUAGACAUUUAAAUUUUUUUUUAAAUAUAUAUAUAUAUAUAUAUAUAUAUAUAAUAUUGUACAUGUUAAUAAAAAAAAUAUAAAUUUGAUAAAUGUACAUUGAUUUUUAAAUUAUAUAAAAUAAUAUUUGAUGAUAAUAUUGUGAUAUGUAAUUAUAAUAUGUUUAAUUUUAAAAUCUAUUUAAUAUUAAAAUUAUGAUAUAUUAUAAAAUAAAUGUAUAAAAUUUUAAUAUAUUAAUAAUAUUAAAAACACCAUGAAUAAAAUUAUGAUAUAUUUUUACUAAUCAAUUAAAUGAAAAAAUUUCAUUAAAUUAUAAAAUAGUUAUAAUUAAUUUGUUAUUUAAAGUGUUUUUUUUUAAUAUUUUAUUUAUAUCAUAACUUUUGAUAUAUAUUUCUUUAGUGCAUAUUACAUAUCAAAGGGCAAGUUUGCCUUAGUGGAGCCGGGGAUGCAUGUUGAACCUUCGAAUCUCCCUAAUAGCAACAAAAAAAAGCUCAAUUUUGAGCUUUGAUUGCGUUGAGCAGCCGUUGACCACCGAUAUAUCCAUGCUAUAUAUCGUUUCGCCACCCGCCGACACACCGAUAUUUCAACAAUAUUUUCUUCCCUGGAUAUGAGCAAGUAUGAUUUUCCUUAAAAUGUUUUUCACAAUUUUUUUAUAUGAUUAUUUAAGUUGCCUACCAAUAAAUCUUUUUCUAAUUUUUGUAUGAAUUGAAUAUUAUUAUUUUUUUUUAAAAAUAAGAAGUAUGUUUAAUAAUUAAUUUUUCUAAGUAAUAAUAAUGACCAACAACCUUUUAGACCUAGUUUUUCAAUCAACUUAUUUAUUUCAUAGGUAUAAAAUAUGGAGAAGUAAAAUAUAUGUAUUGAUGGAUCAAUUAAAGGGAGGGUUAAACCUACUAAGACACUACCCACCUCACUGGAGAAUGGAAAAUUGAACGGUUAUAAAUACAUCAUCAUUUCCCAUUUUUCACAAAAAUGUUGCUCCAUGUCCUCUUAUCAAUUUCACUUCAAUUAUCCUCAAAAAAAUCACUUCACAACUUCAAAGAUUUGUUAGCAAAAUUGAAAAAGUACUAACAUGUCACUUGAGUAAAAAAAGACAUGAUUCCUAUGCAAAAAAUGAAACAUAUGUGUGGACCCCGUAUUUCGACUCAUGCGUUCCCCACUCGGUGGCGAAACUCACUUUUAAUUUUAUUCAGUGAAAAUUUGAUUUUUGGGGAAAAGACUUGGAGUCGCCAUUUUGUGGACCCUGCAUUUCAACUCAUGCGUUCCCCACUCAAUGGCGAAACUCACUUUUAAUUUUAUUCGGUGAAAAUUUGAUUUUUGGGGAAAAGACUUGAAGUCGCCACUUACUUUUGUUUUAUUUUUAAAAGGGUAAACAAAAUAAGAAAGAAAACCCUGAGUGUGACUCCUCAUUUUGGAAAAGAUGGUCUGCGAAAAACCGGAUCGGGCUCGAGGGUCAGAUUACUUAUUGGGAAGGUAUGGUAAAGACUGUAGCACGCCUCUAAGUCCCUAAAGUUGGGGUCUCUACUAAUAGAAUGAAGCCGACAUGGCAAUCAAUAAGAAAGUCAAUGGAUACCUAAGUCAAAUCAUGCACAUAUGGGAAUCGGAACAUGCAUAGAGAAUGAUCCGAAUGAAAGUGUAUGCGUACCUGGGUCACGAGCCACAAUGCAUUGUAUUUGCUCCUCUCAGUGCGAUUUUCUCCGUGCGUUUUUCCCUAUCCCCUCACUAGCUCCCUCUGGUAUCCUUUUCCCUCUUUUUUUUUAGCUUGCUCUCUAAGCUAACGAAAACCUCACUCUGUCACCUUUCACUCAGCCGUCCUCCCUAUUCCAUCUUGUCACCCCAUGCCCUCUUUGGUAGAGUUCACGAGUGCAAUGAACAUGAACACUGAAGUGAAAAGAGAGUGUGAAUAGUGAGUGAAAUGAAGUGAACUCUACCGAAGAACCCAGGAGACCCCCACAACGACACUAGUGAAACACGAACUCAUUAAAACUAACAGACAAACACGAAGGCUCUAACCCUGAGAGAAGAUGAUGUUCAAAAUGUCUCGGAAGCCACACUGAGGACCUAGGCUCCCUCUAAGACGCCUCCAAAAGAGGCUUGAAGAACCAUAUCAAAGAUGAGUAAUGGUUGAACCACUCUGAAGUAUAGAAAAGACUAUGCCCAAAGGAGACUGCCAUAUGCGAACUACAUAAAAAUGACAAGUGUAUGGUGCCUAACGACAUGACUGAAGUAGGUGUCGUGAACUCAAAGGACUGUGUCAUGAGCAAUGAAAAAGGGAAUCUGGAAGAGUGAUGGCAAGUAGGCGAUAAGCACACGAUAACAAGGUAAGAAAAAUGAGAACAUAUGCAAACCCAUGAAGGCAAGAUGUGUAAUGCCAAUGAACAUGAAUGCCAGGGACUCUGACUCUGAAUGAUAUAACUGAGGAGAAAUGACUCUGCAUAUCAAAACAAAGAGAGAUGGUGACUCAUGGUGCAUGAAUGAAUAUGUACAAUGGCUCUGAACACCAAAAUUGAGAAGCGAUGAUGGCUUUGAAUGCCAAAACUGAGAAUGAUGAUGGCUCUGAACGCCAAAACUGAAAAUGGUGAUGGCUCUGAACGCUAAAGCUGAUAAGCGAUGAUGGCUUUGAACGCCAAAACUGAGAAUGAUGAUGGCUCUGAAUUCCAAAACUAAAAAUGGUGAUGGCUGUGAACGUUAAAAUUGAAAAUGGUGAUGGCUUUGAACGCCAAAACUAAGAAUGAUGAUGACUUUGAACGCCAAAGCUGAGAAGCGAUGAUGGCUUUGAACGCCAAAAUUGAGAAUGAUGAAGGCUCUGAAAGCCAAAACUGAAAAUGGUGAUGGCUGUGAACGCCAAAACUGAAAAUGGUGAUGGCUUUGAAAGCCAAAACUGAGAAUGAUGAUGGCUCUGAACGCCAAAGCUGAGAAGCGAUGAUGGCUUUGAACGUCAAACUGAGAAAUGUCGAUGGCUCUGAAUGUUGAAACUAAGAGAUGAUAAUGGCUCUGAAUGCCGAGAUUAAGAAACAAUGAUGGCUCCGAACGCCAAACUGAAGAUGUUGAUGGCUCUGAACGCCAAGACUGAGAAGAAAUAGGGGCUCUGAACGCCAAAUGGAAAAUGCUGAUGGCUCUGAGCGCCGAGACUGAGAAGAAAUAGUGGCUUUGAAAGCCAAAUGGAAAAUACUGAUGGCUCUGAACACCGAACUGAAAAGAAAUGAUGGCUCUGAACGCCAAAUGGAAAAUGUUGAUGGCUCUGAAUGCCAAGACUAAGAAGAAAUAGUGGCUCUGAAAACCAAAUGGAAAAUAUUGAUGGCUCUGAAUGUCGAACUGAGAAGAAACAAUGACUUUGAACGCCAAAUGGAAAAUGCCGAUGGCUCUGAACGCCGAGACUGAGAAGAAAUAGUGGCUUUGAAUGCCAAAUGGAAAAUCCUGAUGGCUCUAAACGCCGAGACUAAGAAGAAAUAGUGGUUCUGAACGCCAAAUGGAAAAUGUUGAUGGCUCUGAAUGCCAAGACUAAGAAUGAACAAUGGCUUUGAACGCCAAAAUGAAAACGUGGCUUCGAACGCCAAAUGGGAACAAUAGCUACUAAUGCUAAGCGAAAAUAGUGGCUUAGAAUGCUAAACUAAACUGAAUAACCAUAAGCGUCAAACUGAGAAAGACGACGCUGACCAUCGUAACUAAGAAGACAUAGUGGCUCUAAAUGCCGAACUGCAAGGGAAUGAUGGGGGGAAAAUAUGCCCCAGUGUAGCGGGUCACCAAAAACCCUCAAUCCAUCAGAAAAGUCGGAAAGAGACUCCGUAAGUCUCGAAAAAAUGCUUGGCCAAUGUGUCGGGGUGAUAAAAUCGAAUGAUCCUUUAAGGAGCCUUCAGAAAAAUGAUCUGAUAGGGUAACUAACGCGAUCUGAAGAAUCACGGAUAGCAAGACAAUCACAACCCGAACGUCCUACUCUACUGAAAGCUCAUCUCGAAGAAUCACGGAUAGUGACUAGUAAAGCAGAUAUAAUAUCUCUUGGCCAAGUGAUGAGAACCGCAACAAACUUGUGAGAGAACGAUCAUCUCCAUAUCCAAAUGAGGGAAAUAUGCCCACGUAUGGCGUCAAAUGUAUCCGAUCUGUCCUGAUGACUCAUGAGUAACUCAAUGGGGACGCGUCGCAGAUCUGACAUGUGCUCCAACGAAAUGAUGAAGUGAGAGUCCAUGAGCCUGAGAUGACUCCAUCCAAAAAUCACAAUGACAUCGGAAACUAUAAACAUGAUGAAACGACUCAAGGGAAGGUCCUUCGAAGAGUCAUGACAAAAUGAAACAAGAUCAUCAACCCGAUGUGUAUCUCGUAACUAGGGAUAAUGACGCAAACCAGAAGGGAUCUACGAAUCUCAAUCAAAGACGGAAAUAUGCCCCAGUAUGGCAUCAAAUGUGUGACAAGUAGGGAAAAUCAAAUGACAUCGAAUCAAGCAUCAACAGAUAUGUAAUCUUGGUCAUUUGAAUCCAUAACUGAAUCAUACCCACUGAUCAAAGAUGUGUCUUUCGGAAGGAAGCAUGAUGAUGGCAUCUGAGUGCUGAGAAAUGCGUGCCUAACUGGAUGGCUCCCAAGAGGCUCCACUAAGAAAUCAUCGUAAAAAUAGUGAUCGGACGAUCAUCUCGAUGAGUAUCCCGUUAGUGGGAAUGAUCACAUAACUCCACGAAGAUCAGUAAACCUCAUCCGAAAUGGAAAUAUGCCCCAGUAUGACAUCAAAUGUACAAUAGGUCGAAAUCGGGUGACAUGAAAUCAUCCAUCAUCAAAUAUGCGAUCUCCAUAAUCCAAAUCAAAUCCAAACAUCUAGGGAACGUCUCUCGAAAUAAAAAGCAUGAAAACAACCCGAUACCGAGAAAUGUGGACCUAGAUGAAUGGCUCCACUGGGGCUCCACUAAAGAAUCAUCAUAAAAAUAACGACAACGUCAUCAUCUCAACGCAUAUCCCGCAAGUGGGGAUAAACACGCAACUUCGUGAAGAUCGGCAAAUCUCAUCUAGAACGGAAAUAUGCCCUAGUAUGGCAUCAGAUGUAUAGUAGGUCUGGCUGAAUGGCCCUAAAGAGGCUCAACUGAAGGAUUGUCAUAAAAUAAUGACCACGCCAUCAUCUCAGCGCAUAUAUCGUGAAUGGGGAUAAGCAUGCAAACUCGUGAGGAUCUGUAAAAUCAUAUCUGAAACGGAAAUAUGCCCCAGUAUGGCAUCGAAUGUGUGACAAAUCAGAAAAGGUUAGGUGUCGUCAAAUCAUCCCUCGUCAAAUGAGUGAUCCCGGUAAUCCAAACACAACCGAAACAAAUCUAAACAUCAGAAAGGUGUCUCCCAGAAGAAGAAGCAUGACAGUAUCUAAAUGGCAACUAGAGCCCAAACACCUGUCCAAGUAGAGGCUGUCGAAGACGACAUCUGAUCCCAUGGCCUCAGGGUGGUCUUAAGACACGGGACGUAACGUAGGCUAGGGUGAUAAGGUAAUAGAAAUGAAAGGAAACGAGACCUAAAUACCCAAUGAUCAAAACUCAUGCCCUCAAGUAUAAAAUGCAAUAUGUGUGGAAAAGCUCGUGAGCCAUGAACCUGAAUGUGCCCAAUGUGAAUGUGAUAUCAAUAACAAGGUGGUGAAGAAAAAUGAUCUGAUAGAUGGAUGUGUAAGAACGAUGCACGUGAAGUGUCAAACUGAGAAUAAAAAGGCGUGGUAAGAAAAAUAAAAUGGCAAGAGGUGAGAUGAGGAUGAUGAAUCAAAAGCGAAAACAAGAAUGAUGAUGAAAUACGUAAUACAAAGGGGAGCAGUGAUCAACUCAAAUCAGACAUGGAGUGAACUCACAUCAACAAUGAAUGUAAUGAUGGAUAGGACAAUGACCCGGAGUCCCUAGGAGAAGGCCACUCAUCUCGCUCUCAAAACAUACGACAAAAAUGAAUACAAAGAAUGAAAGGUCUUGAGAAGCUCACAUACGAACUCUCAUCAAUAAACAUACUCGAUACAAUGACCUUUGAACAUCAACAUACACGCCCAACGAUGGAGAAUACUAUGCACAUACACAUGCAUGCUUAUUUUUUCUUUCUUUUCAUUUUUUUUUUUUUUACAUAUAUACAAAGGCACAUACCUUGAACAUAGACAAAUGAACCCCAAAGAUGAUAGCAAUAAUGAAUAGACACGCUCCCAAGUGCUAAGGUAACAAAAAUCUCUCUCUGAUAAGAUGACCUUCUCAAACUAAGGAUCUCUAACUCAAUGUCCGCAUGAUAAAUAGUGGAAAUGAUGUGACUAUCCCCCAUGUAAUGAAUUGAGGAGGAUCACCACUCGGGGUGGAGAGAAUAUGAAGCAAAACAAGUAAAUAGAAUAAAGAAUGAGAGAUGAAAAACACAACUAAUGAGAUAUGAAGGAAUGCAGUAGCGCGGUGGUAGGAAAAAAAAUAAUGAGAGAAAGAUGCACCUGUAGGUCCAAGACUCAUGAGGCUUCCAAACAAUGCAUGCAUACACUAAAUGGCCCCAAUCCCGGUGUAAAAAUGUGAGGAAGGCGAUAAGAUAGAAAUGCUAGAAUGCAUACGCGAGGCUCAAUGGGCUAGCAACGGUUCAUAUGUCAAAAAAGGAAUAACAAGGUAUAUAGCUAACCGAAAUGAUGGCCACCCAUUCUGCGACCAUGGUCUCAAACAUAGUACCUCUUUAGCUGGUCCACGUUGGUAGGCUCCGAGAAUCGGUUUCCAUCUAGAUCCAUCAACCAUGCAGCGCCCUCUGGGGUCAACUCCCUGAUGAAGUAAGGUCGGCUCCAAUUGGGUCUGAACUUCCCUCUAGGAUCUCUGAUCAAUCCUCUGAUGACCUUCAGAACCAAGUCGCCUGUCCAUAGUGGUCUGGGCUUAACCCGCUUUUUGAAAGCGCGGACCAUCUUUCUUUGAUAUGCAUGAACAUGAUCGGCUGCCCUUAAUCUCCUCUCAUCUAAGAGAUUGAGUUGAUCAAAUCGAGCCUGAACCCAAUCUGCCUCAGGAAUCUGCUGCUCCAAUGCUACUCUCAAUGAACCCAUCUCAAUCUCAACUGGUAGCACUACCUCCAUACCAUACACUAAUGAAUAGGGUGUGACCCCUAUAGAGGUGCGAAAAGAAGUCUGAUAAGCCAACAAUGUGAAAGGGAGCUUCUCUGACCAAUCUUGAGAAGUCUCAACCAUCUUUCGCAAGAUCCUCUUAAUAUUCUUAUUCGCGGCCUCUACUGCCCCAUUCGUCUGCGGCCUGUACGCAAACGACCUACGAUGUCAGAUGCCAUAUCUCUAUACUAAGGUGUCAACCUCUGCUCUGAAAUGUACUCCUCUAUCCGAAAUCAGCUCAUGAGGGACUCCGUAACGACAAAUAAUAUGUGAUCUAAUGAAACUGGUGACUUCGGCUGAUGUCAAUCUCGCAUAUGAAGCGGCAUCCACCCACUUGGUGAAGUAAUCGAUGGCGACCAAGAUGAACUCAUGACCACUAGAAGAUUUCGGUGAAGUCUUCCCGAUGAUGUCGAUACCCCAUACUGAAAAUGGUCAUGGUGACGUCAAUGCAUGUAACUCCGAGGGUGGCACGUGAAUAAGAUCUCCGUGUAUCUGACACUCUGGACAUCUCUGAACGAACUGGCAACAAUCCGUCUCCAUAGUCAACUAGAAGUAGCUAGUCCUCAUGAUCUUACGAGCCAACAUAUGUCCUCCCAUAUGUGGUCCGCAGACUCUCGUAUGAACCUCCCUCAUCACUCGAUCGGUCGAGGCGCGGUCUAAACACAAUAAUAGUAUCCCAUCAGGUGAUCGUCGGUACAAUGUCUCACCACAAAUCAUGAAUCGAGCUGCCAACUAUCUCAACGCUCUCUUAUCCUUGGUCGUGACGGCCUUAGGAUAUACACCAAGUGUCAGAAAGUGAUAUAUAUCGUGGUACCAUGGCAAACCAUCAUUUGGCUCUGUAUCAUCAAUCAAACAACAAUAGGUGGGAUUAGAUCUCGACUAAAUCAUCAAAGGGUGAACAAUGGCAUUGACAGGAAUAUCGAUCAUGGAAGCUAGAGCAGUUAAGGCAUCAGCAAACUAGUUCUGCGCUCUAGGCAGAUGUGUGUAUCUCAAAUCAUCAAAUCUCCCGACCAAUAGCUCCAAAUAUGCGUGGUAAGGCCCAAGCUUCACAUCUCUAGUCUUCCACUCGCCCUGAAUCUGUCUCAAUACCAAAUUGGAGUCACCAAACACCUCCAUUUACUAUAUCUCCAACCUUAGCGAAUGUCCCGUGCUCGUCGAUCUCAUCUGGGAAAUAGAGCGUCAUAAGGCUCAUGCGAUCGGGGGAUGAAGGGGCGGUCAAUGCAGAUGUGGAGGUGCCCAGAGGUUCGUCACUCAAAAGUAACUGGCGGAUAAGGCGCUGAAGCUCGGCCUCCUGGGUAAUGCUAAGCCCUCCAAUAAUCCCGUAUGAUUGGGUCGGUGGCUCCGAUGCCCUCACAAAAUAAUCUGCUAGGCUCAUGGUGUACGAGCGAACGGGAUAAUCGAAAGGUGUGUGAGUCAGUCGAGCUCUCACCCGCUCCCUGUGCAGUCGUGCCAUAUAUCUGUAGUCAGCCUCAAUAGGGACGAACUCGAGUCCGAAAGGUACAUCAUGAUCAGGAAUGGUCAUGAACUCGCUAGGCCCAUGCUGACGCCGCUCCAACCCCAUGCCGGGAAGAUAGGACAUGCCCCUCAUCAUAUUAAGCACCACUGUGCUCCCAUGCUGGUCAAAGGACAUAGCCACAAAGUCUCGAUAGAAGUCCUCCAUCUCAAGGGUCUGCACCUCGUCAAAAGUGAACUCGGUCAGCAGUAAGUCGUCGUCGCUAUGGUUGAUCUGGAGCAUUGGCUCAGCAGAAAUAAACAUGUCUCUUACAGACUGUACUGUGACAAUCUGUCCCUCAUGGAUGAAUUUCACUUUUUGAUGAAGUGAAGAAGGCAUGGCUCCGACUCGGUGAAUCCAAGGUUGGCCCAAAAGUAGGUUAAAGGAUGCAAGAAUCCUCAAAACCUGAAAUACGGUGACGAACGUGGUCGGACCUAUUAGGAGCUCAAUCUCAAGUGUACCCAUAACCUCCCUCCAAGUGUUGUCAUACGCUCGAACGGUCUGAGUGGAGGGAUCGAAAUCAGAGGGUGCAUAUCCAAGAGCGAUGGCGGUGGCCAGAGGACAGACGUUUAGGGCCGAGCCAUUGUCCAGAAGGACAAAUGGAACUCGGCGACCUGAACAACCAAUAGAAAUGUAGAGAGGACGUGUGUGGUCUGAGCUCUCCGAUGGCAAGUCAUCGUCAGAAAAUAUGAUGCAAGUGGCUCUGCCAACCAUCAUCAUGUGAAUCAGUUCCUCAGGGGUGGUCGUAGUAUUGACCCUAAUCUGGCUCAAAGCUCGAGUCAAGGCAUCUAGAUGAGUACUGGAAGAUGCUAGCAAACUCCAGAUGGAAAUACGAGCCUGAGUGCUCUGCCUCAAAAUCUCAUCAUCCUCUCUCCUGACCUCCUCCUAGGAUGACGUACCCUCUAAGGGUCUAGCGGCUGCAGGGGGCUGUUGGCGUACCACCUUACCUCCGCAGAUGACAUACUGUACAUCUGAAGUGUGAACAUCAUCGACAUACGGAGUCUGGGAAACAUCAACAUAUUGAGUCUGAACCUAAACAACAUCCAGAAUCAAAAGAAACGGAGUCCGAACACUGUAAUGUGGGAAAGUCAAUGGCUCGAUAAUGGUCGUCUGUACCAAUGUCAUCUCAAGGGUCAGCCUGAAUGGUGUGGACAUCCAAGGGCCCAAAGUCACUCUACCUAUCUCAUGAAUCUCGUCUGACACUAUAGGCUCUGGCUCUGGCUCAUCCCAACUCAACAUGUGGAUGUGAUUGUCAAGCUCAGCGAAGUCGAUGGAGUGCAUGCUAUCGGUCGGAGGAGGAACCGCAUGCGCGGUGUGGGCCGGUAGUGGGUUUUGGGUUACACUCAACUGACCCAAGUGAACCAAACCCUGAUCGAUCAAAUCCUGAACAACAUGCCUCAGAGUUGUGCAUCGAUCAAUCUCAUGUCCAAGCCCCUGAUGAUAGGCACAAUGUAAAUCCAUCCUGAACUGAGGAGGAAGAGGCUGAGGUGGUGGCCUCAGGGUAAGAACAGUCAAUAAUUCGGCCUCUAUGAGCUUCCAAAGAGCCUGGCUCAAUGGCAUGCUUAUCUGGGAGAAUUGUCUUUACGUCCUCAAAGAAAAUGGAGUAGAGGUCUGCUGAGCUCUGGGCUUGUGGUAAGAAGUAACGGGUGUCGCAGUGAAUUGUGCAGCGUAGCAUGGCUGUCUGGUGGCUGUAUAAGAAAUAGGAGGCUUCUCGAUGCCCUGAGUGGUAUAAUAAGGCAGAGCUAGUGUCUGAGGUUGGUAUGUCUAAUCAUAAGUCAGGCGAGGUGCCUGUGGCCUGUACUGCUGAGGCGUGUAAGAUGAACGAGCCUCGGGAAGCUGUGGGAUCGGCUGAUGGCGCCUAGGAGGCCUCUGACUAGAAGAACCAAUGACUCCCACAUCCACUGAUCUCUGUCCUCCAAAAGGUUUCUUCCCCUUGACAUCACUAGGGGAAGAAUCUGCCCACAAACCUCUCGAGAUGCCAUCCUCGACAUCGUAUAAUGCUAAGCCCAGAGAACCAAAAUCUACAAAAGGCACCCUGACCACAUGUCUGGCGAUCCUUGGCCGUAAGCUCUUCAGAACCACCUGUAUAUGAUCUCUAUCUGAUGGUCUAUCCACUAUCUCGGCUAUCUUCUCGUGCCAGCGGGAGAUGAACUAUGAAACAGACUCUUUUGCCCUCUGUCUUAGAGCCUCAAGCUCUCUCCUCAAUACAUCUACGACAGUGUUAAAUGAAAACUGUUGUAGGAACUCUUGGGCCAAGUCGUCCCAUGUCCGGCGUCGUGAGGACUCUAAAGAUGCGAACCAUGGCUGGGACGCCCCACUAAGAGAUAGCGGGAAUAAAGUGAUCAUCUGAGGCUUGUCCAAUCCAUGAGCCCUCAUCACUGUGCUAUAGAGUCGGAGGUGAAUGCAAGGACAACCAAUACUUAUGUACCUCUCAAUAUCCGACAUCCUGAACUUAGCCGGCAAACUGGCUACCGGCAUACCCUCAAGAUCAUCCCAAACAACGGAGCCAUCAAAUACCCUCAUCUGUCUCAUGUGCUACUCAAUACGGUCCAUGCGCGCAUGAGCGUCGCCAACAAUAGUGGCCUGGAUGACUGCGGGCGGAACAACCUCAGAAUGACUGUGUAGCACAUAAGGUGAAGCUUGAGGCACCGAAGGAACAGGUGGUGGCGGUGGAGGUGGCAACGAGUCAUGCAGCGUCUCAUCCUAAACUAUGGGCGGUCUACUUUGCUGACUGCCUAUCUCCUGCCUAAGACUGGCCAAGGCCUCCUGAAUAGAAGCCAUGGUGGCCAUAAAUUGGUCAACUGUGACGACCUGCUGAUCCAUGUCUAAUAUCUCUGAAAAUCGGACUAAUCUCCCCUCUACUCUGACCCAAUGAGGUAAGUCUAGAUUGAUAAGAAAGGUCUGAUCCUGAAAGUCUCCUCAUUUGCUCUGAUCCACGAAGCUAUAUCCAGGCUGAGAACAAAGGUCUGAUCCUACAAAGCACGAAGAACGUAAUAAGGAUACGACUCAGAGAAAGCAUGGAAGAAGUGGUAAUCUGAACGGAAACAAGUAAGCAUCCAAGUGAAGACGGACUGUCCGACCGUACUCAAACUCGUCCUGAUCUCGAUACACUCUCAAUCGGAGACUAAAAAGAGGGAAAAUCGGAUCCAAAUUAUAGCUAUAGAGGCUCUGAAGGCCCUUAGAUGCACCCACGUGUAAGGAGGGAGUCCUAGUCGAAGGAUCUACGGCUCAACCUACAAGGUAGAAGUGACUUUAAGAGGAUAAGGGUGGACUUUAAAAAAUCCCUAGCAGAAGCGAUCAUACCUUCCGGCGGUAUGCAACCCUCUGUACGCCUCAAAAGAAACGGGACGCUUCCAUGCAAGGUGGUUAUCACCUCCACACAUGCACUACCUCGACAUCUUAGGGGGGUUUCCUAUGGUAGAACUUCUCAAACUCUCAACACUCAAUGGUCAACUAGAGUGCACAGUGUGCUGUGUGGGUGCAUCUGAAAACCCUAUGAAGCUAAAAUGAAAAGGGAGACACUGGCCGCACAAAUAUCCAUGAAAUCUAGCUCCGAGCUAAACAAGUCUUCAAUGAUCGGACUCCAAUCGUCAUCAAUGUGUCGCUCUCUUCCAGAAUACUCCCAAACAUCGGUAUAGCCUGUCGCUGGACCCUACUCCUAACCUUUAGCUCAGUCAGAAUACAAGCACACACAAGGCCUCACACUUGCAAAAGUGAGAACCAAAAUAAAGGAAAUGACCGAAACCAGAGGGUGGGAGGUAAGAGGAUAAAUGUGCUACCCACACAAACAAGUGACAUGCAAUCAUGCAGAGAAGGGCAGUCAUGCGACAUGUAAUCAGGCAGAGUACAGGAUAUAUCACUCAUGUGCACAUACAAGCUAUGACAAUAAAAUGAAUAGUGAUAAAAACAGUAUGCUCAAGGAUGAUCAAGAUAAUAUACAAACAAAUGGAUCAACGUGUCGAGUCAAAUAAUAUACAGUGGCAAGUGUAUGCAUGUGAGGUGAUCAGGGUAAUCAUGGCAAAAUCAGAGUAUAUAUGCUAAGCAAUACAAGAUGAUCAAUCAGUAUAAUCAACAAUGUCGAUGUCUCAAACAAUAUAGCAAUGAAUCACAAAAGGAAUAGCUAUCUCAGAAUCCUCAAUCAAGACAAAUCAGUCAUCAUAAUCAGCAUAUCAACAUCUCAAACGGAUACAAUAUACGAGCAUGCAUAAAAAACUCUCAAUGUGCAAUCAAGAGAUGGGCAUCCAUUGAUCGGCCAAUCAAAUGCCACGUUCGCUUCAUCCUAGGUUCAAGCUUGACCCUCUAAAUCUUCCCCAGUGGAGUCGCUAUUUUAUGGACCCCGCAUUUCAACUCAUGCGUUCCCUACUUGGUGGCGAAACUCACUUUUAAUUUUAUUCGGUGAAAAUUUGAUUUUUGGGGAAAAGACUUGGAGUCGCCAUUUUGUGAACCCCGCAUUUCGACUCAUGCGUUCCCCACUCGGUGGAGAAACUCACUUUUAAUUUUAUUCUGUGAAAAUUUGAUUUUUGGGGAAAAGACUUAGAGUCGCCACUUACUUUUGUUUUAUUUUUAAAAGGGAAAACAAAAUAAGAAAGAAAACCUUGAGUGUGACUCCUCAUUUUGGAAAAGAUGGUCUUGGAAAAACCGGAUCGGGCUCGGGGGUCAGAUUACUUAUCGGGAAGGUAUGGUAAAGACCGUAGCACCCUUCUAAGUCCCUAAAGUCAGGUCUCUACUAAUAGAAUGAAGCCAACAUGGCAAUCAAUAAGAAAGUCAAUGGAUACCUAAGUCAAAUCAUGCACAUAUGGGAAUCGAAACAUGCAUAGAGAAUGAUCCGAAUGAAAGUGUAUGCGUACUUGGGUCACGAGCCACAAUGCGCUGUAUCUGCUCCUCUUAGUGCGAUCUUCUCCGUGCGUUUUUCCCUAUCCCUUCACUAGCUCUCUCUGGUAUCAUUUUUCCUCUUUUUUUUUAGCUUGCUCUCUAAGCCAACGAAAACCUCACUCUGUCACCUUUCACUCAGUCGUCCUCCCUAUCCCAUCUUGUCACCCCAUGCCGCCUUCAUUUCGGGUUCGUCAAAAGAGUAAUCAUAAUAAAAUGGCCAAAUUUCUCAUCUCUCAGGAAGGGGUCUACAAUAUGCCAUAUUUAUCAUCUAAAUUAUGUACUUUUUUGAAUAGUAAUUACAUGUUACACUAGGUAGAAUCAUGUUAACAUAUUAAAUGGAUUAGAAUUGUGUUAAUUGGUUUAAUGAAUGUUAAUAGGUUUAAUAGGUUAGAAUCAAAUUAACGGGGGUUACCUAUAUCAAUUCAUAUAGAGGUCAACUUAACCUAUUUAUUAAAUUAGUUAUGUUUAUAUCAAGUCAUUUUAACAUGAUGUUUAAACAAAUCAUAUUCCAAUUGAGUAAACUUUCACUAGUUUUUAUCUUGAUACAAUACAAAUCUAACAUAAUAUGACCCAUUGUCACCCUAGUUAAGGAGCAUAAGAGUGUUGCAUCAAGGAAGUGGAAGAAAAGCAUAGUGAUAUAAAACUUUAGGGAGUGGAAGCAUUUAAUCAAGUAAAGUUGUGUAACUUUUUUUUUUUUUCAUAAGUAGUGGAUUAUUCAAUUGUCAAGAGACCAACCAUAGUUUUUUUUUUUAUACCUAGGGAUUUCUAGGUGCUUUCCACAUUAAACUCUAUGUCAAAUUGUGUAAUCGGAAAUCUCAUGCAUGAGAUUGAUAAGAUAUUGAUGAUAAUUGAGUUGGAAUAAAAUAAUUUAACUUUGAGGGGUUAAUUGCUUGGAUUACCUAUUUACCCCUCCUUCAAGAAGUUCCAUAUCAAGAAAAAAAUUAUUUCAACAUAUAUAUAGAUAUUUUAUAUUUUCUAAUUUUAAAUUAAUUUUUAUGUUGGGAAAUUGAAUGAGGGAAUAGUUGGCUCAAUUUUUCAAGCUUGGCAAAAAAAUUUGUUGUUAACAUGUUAUUUUACCUUAUUUUAUACAUUUUUUUUGGAAUAAAAAUAUAUAAUCAACUACUCUUGUAUGAUUGAUUUAGAUGUUAGAAAAGGUUACAACCAUUAAUUCUAUUAAUUGACCAACAAUUUUUUAUAAACUUUAAGUUGCUAGCAUUCAUAUAUUAUCCUAAAAUUAUUAAUUAUAAUUUUAUUUAAGUUGAACCACAAAUCUUGGGUAAAUGAUGAAGUAUUUGUUAACAAGAUACUUGUUUAAUUAUAUUGGAAGUUUUUAGUUUGAUUUGUUGUUGUUGAAUUCAAAUUCCUAGAAGCUAGCUUUGAGGACUAGAUAGUUGUCUUGGUUUUUGUUAUAAGUUUGAUUUUUAUAUUGUUUUCAAACAUGAUGUGUAAAAUGUUAAUGGUAAUGAUGUUGAAACAUAGCUAAUGCUACUAGAAGAAUGUUGUAAAGAGUGCCUUUGGUGAGUUGGAUCGGGGGGGAAAGCUCCAUGACAAGCUCCAUUUAUUACAAAGGAUUCCUUCACAAACUCUCUUUGUAUGUUAUUAAGUUGUGAGUAGAAUUAUUGAAGUUGUAUAAACAAGUGGCAAUCUUGAUACGUCAUAAUGACACCAUUCGAAAAUUAUAUAAAUCUUAGCAGGUCUAAAGGUAUUUGUAAAACACAUUUGUAUUGCCUAAUUAUGGUCUUAUUGGAGAAUGAGUUAUUAUCAAUUUCAUGGAACAAAACUUUCAUUAGUCAAUAUUAUUUGAAGGUGAAAUCUUACUCAUAAAAUUUUUCAAUUAAAUUUAAAAGUUAAAAUUAUAAAGUAGAGAGUUAAAAUAACCAUUGAGCAUAGUUUAAAAUUUGAAUAUAAUGUGUUUAUUAUUGUAAUUCAAGCCCAAUAUUUAUUAUUUAUUAUUAAAAAUAUAAUUUAUAUUUAAGAUAAUUUAGCACAUUUGAACAAUGCUUUGAGAAUAAGAUUGGAGCAUCUAAUUUGACUAAUUGGAUAGCAAAUCAAACUAAUCCAAUCUUAUUUUUCAUAUUUUUCCACCUUCAAUUUUAAGAUAAAUAUGAACAAAAGUCUUUAUAUGAUUAUAACAAUAUAAACAAUAUAAACACUAAAAUAAUUAGUUUAACAUUAAAUAACAAAAAUCUUAUUUUAGUCUUCGACAUAUUGCUAUAUAAGUUAAAUAUAUAUGUUAGUAAAAUAAGAAAUAUUAAUAUAUUUAAAAUAUUAAAUAAUAAAAUCACAUUUUUUUGUUAUUAUUAAUAUUUAAUUAAUACAUUCUAAUUAAAUCUAAAAUAAAAACUUUACACAAAUUAGUAUAAAACCAAAUAUGAUCACCAUAAACCAACCUCAAUUAAAAAUACUUAAAUAUAUAAAAGUCAAAGUAAAUAAAUGAGAAAUAAUGCUAAAAGAUAUAUAUAUAUAUAUAUAUAUAUAUAUAUAUAUAUAUAUAUAUAUAUAUAUAUAUAUAUAUAUAUUAUUUUUAACUCCAUAUAUUAUUUUAAAUUUUAAUAAUAUAUGAAUUAUAUAUGCAUAUUGCCUUGCUGAUAUCAUGUUUCAAUUACUUGAACCAUCAGUUCAAUUAAGAAAGUUUAAUGCAAUAAUUUUUCGAUUCAAUAAUUAAUUAAUAAGAUUUUCAAAAUAUUGUAUUUGAAAACUCAUCACAAAAAAUGAAUAAAAAAGAUCAUGAAAUUCUUGCAAAGAAAACUUACUUCAUGAAAAUAUGGAAACCCCAAACCUUAAUUUCUUCAAUAAUAUGAAUCAAAAUUCUUAUAUUUAGGCAUCUUAGGAGAGAACCAAUAAUCUCAUCCACAAAUCAAGCAUAGUCAAUAGGCAAUUCUUAUGUUUAGGAGUAAUAUAUACAUACAUACAUAUAUAUACUGUGUAUAGAUGAUGUAUCUUUUGGAAAGUCAUGUAUAUAUUUAAAUGUUGUAAUGUAUAUCUUGCAUAAUAUAGUUUGACCAUUCAUCUAUUCAUUCAUUCAUCUUAUACUCUUGGAAAGAAAAGUAACUUCAUGAAAAUAUGGAAAUCUCAAACCUUAAUUUCUUCAAUGAUGCUUAUUAAAAUUUUUGCAAUAAAAAGUUGUGUAAUUGAGGACACUAAUGAUGCAAGGUUACAACUAGUCACUCCUAACCAGACUUAUUCUUAUACAUAUUUCCAUCUUCAUCUCAAGUCUGGGAGUCUACCUUUCCAUUUUAAGAAAAUUAAUUAUUCUUUUUAUUUUACAUGUAUUGAAAAAAGUAAAAGAAAAAAUAAGAUUGAGCAAUAUGAACCAAUCAAUCUUGACAUAUAUGUGAGAAGAUAAUUUAAAAGUGUAUUUGAUAGUGUUUAAUUUUGAAGUGUUUUUAAUUUUAAUAAAAGUAUUUUCUUUAGAAGUGAUUUUGAGAUAAUUACCUAUUAAAAGUGCAUUUGAUAAUGAUUUUAAAAUAGUGUUUUUAGUUUUUUAAUACUUGAAAAAUAAAAAUUUUCAAAUAUUAAAAAGAAUAAAAAUAUUUCCUAAAAUUAUUGUUAGACGCACUUUAAAACCCCGUUUAGCAGUGAUUUUAGGAAGUGUUUCUAAACUUUUUAGUACUUUAAAAUUUGUAUUAUUUAAGUGUUAGAAAUACUAGAAACGUUUUCUAAAAUCACCAUAAAAUGUAUUCUAAGAGUGUGUGUGAUAGUGAUCCUUGGAAAUGUUUUUAACAUUUUUAAUACUUAAAUGAUAAUAAUUUUCAAAUGUUAAAAGGUUAUAAACACUUCUUAAAAUUACUAUAAAACGGGUUCUAAGUGUUUCUUCAAAAAACACCACAAAUGAUUUUUUUAUCUGUUUAAAAGUGUUUUCUAAAUUUUAUUAAAUACUUAUUUUUCUCCAAAAAUAUUUUUUAAGGUAGAAGUGCUUUUUUAAAAAUAAUAUCAAAUGGACGUGUAAGUCUUAAAAUAAAAUCCCUUGAUUUAAUUAUACUUUUCAAAUCCAUCCUAUAAGCCUAAGCAUUCUUGAAAUACCCACCCCUGUUAUAAUACAAAAGCAAACCACCACUAAGGAUAUUUAAACAACAUUUUAAAGACAAUCGGAACCUAUCAAUGAGACUUUGUCUCAUAAUACAAAUUUCGUUAUGUUCACAUGUAGAAAGGGACAAAUAAUACAUAAAAACUAAAAAUCAUAUACAAUAGAAAGCUUGGAAUCAAGAGGGAAGAGAGCAAAGUUACGAAGUGGUGGAGCCUUGGUAAAAUAAAAUUAACAACGGCAUUUUCAUGUGCGUGUCUCAUCGCUGGAUGGACCGAAUUUUGCUUCUCCCAAAACUCUUUAAAUAUUGGGAGAAUUGUGUUUUGGCCCAAUUGUCCCAAAAAUUAAUAUUUGGUCCUCCAAUCAUCCAUAAUUGAUAAUAAGGAUAUGAGAUAGUAAUUGACAAAAAUACCCGCUUGACUCAUUUUUGUCUUUAUUCUACUACUUGUCACUAUUCUUUCUUAUUUAACUAUUUUUGGAUUUUCAUUUUUUUAAAACUCUUUUAUAAAUAAUUGAAAAUUUAAUAUUAUUUUUAUUUUUAAAUUAUAAAUAAAAAAAAAUUAUAUUAAUGAUUCAAAGACUAUUUAGGAAAAUACUUUCUAAAAAAAUAUUAAUUUAAAUAAAUAAAAAUUAUCUUUUACAUUUAUUUUUAUAGUUUACAUUUUAGAAGUAAAUAAUUUAAUGAUUAAAAUACCAUUUAAAAUAAAUAUAUUUACUAUUUUAAUUUUUUUUAUACUAAAAAGUAUUUUAAAGUUUUUUUUUUUUACUAUUAUAAAAUAAAAAGUUCAUUUUUUUUUUAAUCUUCUUUCUUCCUUAUUUUAAUAACUUUUUGAACAUGACUUUUAGUAAUAAGUUAUAUGGAAUGCUACAAAUUUGUUUAUUAAGGAUUUUUUUUUAAUGAUUUGAAUUAAUUGAAAAUUUAUUAAAAUAAGAAAAAGAAAAAUAAAGAAAGAGGAUUGAUGGAGAGUUUUUAUUUUAAGUACUCGAUUAAAAGAGGAUGGACGUAGAGUUUUUAUUUUAAGUAUUCAAUUAAAAUGUUUUCAUAUGACCUACUUUUAGAAGUGGAUUAUAUCAAUACAUAGUAGAGAUUGAAUUUUUUUUUUUAUAUAUAAAAGGGUUGAAAGGUAUAUUUACUUGUUUUAGAUGAAAACAAGUAACUAAAAAUUAUAUAGAUCAUAUUUGAGUUUGGUUUUAAAAUAUUUUUCUAGUUUUUAUUUUAAUUUAUUUUUAUUUUCUAUAUUGUCUCUUUUUGAAAAUAUGUUAAUUAAAAAAUGAAAACUAUUUUUAAAAAUGAAAAUUGAAAACCUUGUUUGGUAAUUUUUUUUUAUAUAAAAAAAAUUAUUUAUUAAUUUAUUGUGUCAUUGUACAAUUGUAUUACAAUAACUGUACUAAAGACGUACAAGACUACCAUUUAUGAAAUAUUAUAAUAGAUUAUGAGUCAUUCCUUUGUUUUUCUACAUGGACACAUAACUUAAGAGGGAUAUGAAAUUUGUGUCAUUGUACAAGGGUAUUACACUAACUGUACAAAGGAAAUGUACUAAUUGUACAAAGGUGUACAAAAUCAUCUUUUGUGAAUUAUUUUAAUAAAUUCUAAACCACUUUUUUUUUCCUUGUCACCCAAGGAUUGUAUGCCUAUGUCAUGCAUUUUAUUUAACUCUCAUAUGAGAAUUCUAAUAUUUUCCCUAAUAAUGAUAUUUGGGGAAAAAAUUGACCCUAAGUCCUCUACCAUUUUCUUAACCAAACAAUUGAAAAUAUGAUUAAUACACCUACAUAAACAUAUAAGUUAUGACAAAUAUGAAAUUUGUGUCAUUGUACAAGGAUAUUACACUAAUUGUACAAGGGAAAUGUGCUAAGUGUACAAGGCUCCUAAUAGGUUUUGUACGAUUGUUAAACAACUUGAAUUUGAUAUUAAGACGAUUAUUGAUAGUUUUUUUUUUCUUUUUUUUAUCAAACUAUUUCAUUUAGACAUUCCCUACAAAAAUUAACACAUAGGAAAUAAAAUUAAAAUCAAUCAUGUUUGAAUUGUUCAUUAUAAGUAAACUAAAUGAAAUAUACAUUUUUACUAUUUUUCCUUUAUAAACAUAAUUUCUUUGUUAUCAAUAGAGAUUAAAAAAAAUCAUAUUUAAAUGGAAUUAAAAAUAAACAAAAAUUAUUUUUAUAACAUUUUUAUUUUUUAAAAUCAUUAAUUUAAAUUAUGAAAUUAGUUUUAAAAUUAAAAAUACUUGUUGUAAUUAUAGUUUUGAAGAUUUCAUGAUUUUUAUCUUAUUACUUUGAAAAAAUUGUUUUAAUAAGAAAGUAUUUAUUUUAAUUAUUUUAAAUAUUUAAAUCUUUAUUAAAAAAUAUUUAGAAUUGGUGUGGAGAGCAAUUAGAUAAUUUUGGAAAGGAGAAAUUUUGAAUAUUUUGAAGAAUUUAAUUCGGCAAAUUACCAUAUUUACACUUUUUAAAAUAUUUUGGAAUGGAGAAAUUUUGAAUAUUUUGAGAGCAUAGUUCAAAGAAUUGAAAGAUUUUAAUCAAUUUUAGACAAUAGUUUUUUUUUUUGUCUUGUCAUCUAAGGAUUGCACACUCUUAAGGUACACAUUCCUCUAUUACACACUCAUCUUAUGCACUUUAUUUAACUCGCACAUGAUAAUUCAAAUACUUAUCCCACUAAUGAUGUUUGAAAGAAAAUUUUGUUUUUCCAUUUUCCACUAUUUUUUGAAACAAACCAAUGAAAACAUGGUUAACCUACCUAUGGUUAUACAUUGAGUAGCAGGUAUAUGGAAUUUGAGUCACUGUACAAGGUAUUUACACUAAGUGUACAUGAAAAAUUUACUAACUGUACAAGAGUGUACAAGAUUAUUAUUUGUGAAGGAUUUUAAGUGAUUCUGAAAAAUUUGUUUGUUUAUUUCCCCUAACCGAGGAUAAAUGACAUUCAUUACACACAUUAAUUAAGCAUACAUUCAUCUCAUGCGCUUUAUCUAAUUUGUAUAUGGUUAUUUGAAUAGGUACCUCACUUAUGAUGAUUGUAAAACAAAAUUCUACAACAAUUUUUCUUCUUUUUUAAAACCAAACCAAUGCAAACAUGGUUAACUGACCUAUUGUCAGAUAUUCAUGAGAUAAUCUAUGAAAUUUAAGUUAUUGUACAAGGGUAUUACACUAACUGUACAAGACAAAUUUACUAAUUGUACAAGGGUGUACAAGAUUACUUUUUGUUAAGGAUUUCAAGUGAUUUUGAAAAACUUUCAUAUUUUUUUCCACUCAAAGAUUUUUUUCCCCACUCAAAUUCUCUCACUCAAGAAUUGUUUCGAAUUUUAUUUUUAAAUUUCAUCAUCAAAAUUUUGUAAUUGCAUAUUUUGUUUUUGUAGUUUUAGCAAUGUUCUUUCUUUUCACUUUUUUUUUUUUUUUUUUUUUUUUUGUGAAAUUUUAUCGAAAUGAAUCUAGAUUUAAAAUUAUAAUCAUAUUUAUCAAUUUUUUUUACUAAGAUUAUCUUUAAUUCUUUUAAUAUAUUUAUACUCAUUUAUUUAAAAAAGGAAAAACUAAUUUUUUUUUUUUUUUUUUGUAAACAUAUUCUAUUACCUUUCAAGUAAAAAAUUAGAUAAGUUUGAAAGUCAACAAAAAAAAAUUAAAUACCACUUUCAAUAAUUUUUAGAUAAAAUUUUAUAUAAUAUAUUUUAUUUGAAAUUUAAUUUUUAAAGUUUAACUAAAAAAUUAUAUUGACAAUUUUCUAGUUAUGAGUCAAAAUACUUUGCAUUAGUAUAUCUAUAUAAGAAAAAUUAUUAAUAUAAUAUUAUAACCUCAUAUCUUAGUUAUUUUUUUUCAAUAAAUUUAUCUUUUUAAAAAUUUUAAAAUAAAAACAUUAAAAAUUAAAAAGCUAAAAAGAUAUAUAUAUAUAUAUAUAUAUAUAUAUAUAUAUAUAUAUAUAUAUAUAUAUAUAUAUAUAAUAAAGUGAAGUGAUAGUUAAUUUUAAUUUUUUUUUAAAUAUGGUUAAUGUAGAAAAUAUAAAAAUAAUUAAAAAUAAGAGAAAAAUAUAAAUGAAAGGGUAAUAUAAUUUUAAAAUAAAUAAUAAUAAUUAAACUAAAAGAUAAAUAUAAAAAGAUAAAAAAUAUUUGGAUGAAAAAUCCCAAAAUUUUUAUCAUUGCUUUUAAUAAGAGCAAAAAGAUUGAAUAUCUUUAAAAAUGAAAAAUAAAAAAAUAUUAUUACUUUUUAUUUGACAUAAAAUAGAAAUAUAUAUUGGAAUAAAAAGAAAAAAAAAGUUAGAAAUGAGUAAUACUUAAUAGGGAAUAGAAAAGGAAAAAAAACAUAAAAAAAAUUGAAAUUCACACUCACUUGUAGACAUAUAAGGGAUAAGGGUAUUUUAGGAAUUAAUGAAAGACAAUAUCCUUCAUCUUAAUUUUCAUACUUUGUUUGAGUCUUGGGUUUAAAUAUGCAUGAUAUAUGGACUAAAUGUUAAUUUUUGAUCCCAGCUGGCCCAAAAUACAAUUCUCCCUUAAAUAUUAUAAUUAGAGCCCACUUGAUGCUUAGAAAAAUACAUUUGCAAGUGAUCUCCAUCUGUCAAUCAAUUAAUCUAUACAAUAUUAAAAAUUCACUUCUUGUUGAUUUAGCAAAAUCACUUUGUUGGGGGUGGCCUGUCUCCGAUGUUACUCAAGUUUCAACUCUGGACUUUUCAAAUUAACAAAGUGCAGUGAUUCAUCUUUCUUCUUUGUUCCAUUUUUGGCUGAAUUGUAAUCCUUUUGUCUGUAACUUACGGAAAGCUAUGGAGUUUCUGAGCUCGAUCGUGGGUCUGGUCCCCUGCUUCUAUGAUCACACCUCCAAGCAUACGGUCUACAUUCGUGAUCUGAGAAAAAAUCUCCAAGCCUUGAGGAAAGAAAUGGUGGAUCUGAACAACUUGUACGAAGAUAUGAAGGCAAGGGUUGAACGUGCAGAGCAACAAGAGAUGAAGCGCAGAAAGGAAGUGGGUGGGCGGAUCUGUGAAGUAGAAGACAUGGAGAAAGAAGUUCACGAAAUUCUGCAAAGAGGAGAUCAAGAAAUCCAGAAGAGUUGUCUAGGAUGCUGUCCCAGGAAUUGUUGGUCUAGCUACAGGAUUGGAAAGGCGGUAAGUGAAAAGCUGGUUGCUGUAUCUGGUCAAAUCGGCAAAGGACAUUUCGAUGUUGUAGCCGAGAUGUUGCCUCGUCCUCCAGUUGAUGAACUGCCCAUGGAGGCGACUGUGGGCCCACAAUUGGCAUAUGAAAAGAGCUGUAGGUUUCUCAAAGAUCCACAAGUGGGAAUUAUGGGAUUGUAUGGAAUGGGGGGUGUUGGCAAAACCACCCUCUUGAAGAAAAUCAACAAUGAAUUCCUCACAACAUCCAAUGACUUUGAGGUCGUGAUUUGGGCUGUGGUGUCAAAAUCGCCCGACAUUGAAAAAAUUCAGCAAGUUAUUUGGAAUAAAUUGGAAAUCCCACGUGAUAAAUGGGAAACUAGAAGCAGUAGGGAGGAGAAGGCUGCAGAAAUAUUGAGAGUUUUGAAAAGAAAAAGGUUCAUCUUGUUGUUGGAUGACAUUUGGGAGGGACUUGAUCUCCUAGAAAUGGGGGUCCCGCGUCCAGAUACUGAAAAUAAGUCCAAGAUAGUUUUGACGACCCGAUCACAGGAUGUCUGCCACCAAAUGAAAGCUCAGAAGAGUAUAGAAGUGGAAUGUUUGGAGUCAGAAGAUGCCUGGACUUUGUUCCGGAAGGAGGUAGGAGAAGAAAUAUUAAAUUCUCAUCCGGAUAUACCGAUGCUUGCAAAGGUUGUUGCUGAAGAGUGCAGAGGUUUACCUCUCGCUCUUGUCACUCUUGGGCGGGCCAUGGCAGCUGAGAAAGAUCCCUCAAACUGGGACAAGGUAAUACAAGAUCUACGCAAAUCUCCAGCUGAAAUCACAGGUAUGGAAGAUAAAUUGUUUCAUCGAUUGAAACUCAGUUAUGAUAGGUUGCCUGACAAUGCCAGCAAAUCUUGUUUUAUAUAUCAUUCCAUCUUCCGAGAGGACUGGGAGAUUUAUAAUUAUCAACUUAUAGAACUUUGGAUAGGGGAGGGGUUCUUGGGUGAAGUUCACGACAUACAUGAAGCACGGGAUCAAGGGAAGAAAAUUAUUAAUACUUUAAAGCAUGCAUGUUUAUUGGAGAGCUGUGGUUCGAAAGAAUAUAGGGUUAAGAUACAUGAUGUGAUCCGUGACAUGGCUUUAUGGUUAUAUGGUGAACAUGGGGUGAAAAAGAACAAAAUUCUAGUAUACAAUAAAGUUGCUAGGCUUGAUGAAGAUCAAGAAACUUCCAAAUUGAGAGAAACAGAGAAGAUAUCAUUAUGGGAUAUGGAUGUUGGGAAGUUCCCAGAAACAUUGGUGUGCCCCAAUCUUAAGACUUUAUUUGUGAAAAAAUGUCAUAAUUUGAAGAAAUUUCCAAAUGGAUUCUUUCAAUUCAUGCUUCUACUUAGAGUUCUGGAUUUGUCAGACAAUGAUAAUUUAAGCGAGUUGCCAACUGGGAUUGGUAAAUUGGGUGCCUUGAGGUAUCUUAAUUUGUCAUACACAAGAAUAAGGGAGUUGCCCAUUGAACUAAAGAAUUUGAAAAAUCUGAUGAUUUUGAUUAUGGAUGGUAUGAAAUCCCUUGAAAUUAUUCCACAAGAUAUGAUAUCAAGCCUUAUAUCCUUGAAGUUGUUCUCCAUUUAUGAAUCCAAUAUUACAAGUGGAGUUGAAGAAACUGUACUGGAGGAGUUGGAGUCCUUGAAUGACAUCAGUGAGAUAUCAAUCAUCAUAUGCAAUGCUCUUUCAUUCAACAAACUAAAGAGUAGUCAUAAAUUACAAAGGUGCAUAUGUCAUCUAUAUUUACAUAAAUGGGGGGAUGUGAUCUCACUUGAACUGCCUUCUUCAUUUUUUAAAAGAACGGAGCAUUUGCAGCAGCUUAAUAUAAGCCAUUGCAAUAAAUUGAAAGAAGUGAAAAUUAAUGUGGAAAGAGAAGGGAUACACAAUGGUAUGACUCUUCCAAACAAAAUUGCAGCAAGGGAGGAAUACUUCCACACCCUUCAUCGUGUGGUUAUAAUUCAUUGUUCAAAAUUGUUAGACUUAACAUGGCUUGUUUAUGCUCCAUAUCUUGAAGGACUUUACGUUGAAGAUUGUGAAUCAAUAGAAGAAGUGAUACGUGAUGAUAGUGAAGUCUGUGAAAUUAAGGAAAAAUUGGACAUAUUCUCAAGGCUCAAACACCUCGAGCUCAAUAGGCUGCCAAGAUUGAAGAGCAUCUACCAGCAUCCACUACUCUUUCCCUCUCUUGAAAUCAUCAAGGUGUGUGAAUGCAAAGGUUUGAGGAGCCUCCCAUUUGAUUCCAACACUUCAAAUAAUAGUCUAAAGAAAAUUAAAGGAGAGACAAGUUGGUGGAAUCAGUUGAAGUGGAAAGAUGAAACUAUCAAGCACUCUUUUACUCCAUAUUUCCAAAUCCGUGAAGCUGAAGCAUAUUCAACAGACACUGGCAGCAUAGAUGAUAUGCAGGAACAACCAGUAUCAAAUUAACUUCUAUCAAUCUUUCAGGUAUUAAUUAACUUUUAUACUAUAUUUGGAAAACCCUUUUCUUUCCUUAAUCCCAUUCUUUUGUGGAAUUUUUUACUCUAUCUAUGCCAAAGUGCAUCAAAGUCUCAACAUCAAAAUAACUUUCAAUGUUUGAUCUAUCAAGUUUGCCCCUUUUGAAGUAACUGUUAUAAAGUUUGCCCAGAAGGGACUUUGAAGGAGGUCUUUUAUUUAAACAUCUAAUGACAUUUCCUUUUGGUUACUUGAGAACUUGAAAAUAUGCAAAGUUCUCAACUAUAUUAUUUAUCAUGUCUUAAUUUUUUCGAUUCAUUUCAAUCUAUAAACAGAAAGAGAGAAUACCUAAUUUCAACUUAAUUCCUUAUAUUUCAAGUUGAACCAACAGGUGUUUCACAACUGUAGGUAAAGAUAUUCCAUUAAGAAUUCUCGCUUUGUUUAAUGUAUUUACCAGGACCAACCAUAUGUAAAUUCUCUUCUUUUGUUGAGUUGCCUCUAUCUGGUUGAUUCUCAGUUGGUUUUUUUUUUCUUUUCUUUUUUCUAUUGCAUUCAGAGUUGGGGCUUGUUCUAGAAGUUCUGACAACAGCUGGGAUUCAAUUAGCUCUCUCUAGUGGAGCCUUGAGUUUUUUGGUUGGUUGCAGAGUAGGGUCUUGUUCUACCCGUCCUUACUCAGUUGGGAUCUGAGCUUCUUCGGCUGCUUCCGUUUCGUCUUGCUCUUUUUCCUUCUAAUUAGUAUAGACGUGAGCUGGAUUAUGUUUGCUUGCUGGUCUGAGUUUCUGAUAUGUUUUGUGGCGGUGUGCUGAUUCUCAGAGUAUCGUUAUUCAUGGUGCUCAGUCUGCUGGGAAAGUUGGUUAAUGUCCAGAUGCAGGGGCUCAUCUCAGCAGGCUUUGGUUGGGAUCCAUGUGUUUGCUGGAAUUGGAUUCUGUGGGUUGCCGUUGGAUUUUGAUGUAGGCCGGGUUUGUUUUCUUUGUUGAGGCUGGUGGAGUAUGGUGGCUCAGAAGCUGCUAGUAAUCUGUCUGUUGUAUGCUGACGCUGGAAUCUUCAUGGUGGUUGCUCUGGUGGGUCAAUAUGAUAUGGGAAUGCUUUUGCCUUUUGAGUCCUUGGGCGUCAGCUGGUUGCUUGUGUUUCCUCUGCGCUUUAGUUCACAUACCAGAGUGCAUACUUCCUUGAGUUCCAUAUCCCACUGCCAAGUGUGUUGUCCAUGAUGUAAUGUAAAGUAGUUAAUUUGUAUACUUGGCCUUCAGUUCCCUUCUAGAAAACUUUGAACGCCCUUUAUGAAUGAAAUGUUGUGAGAAAAACUGGAGUUGAUUUUCACAUUUGAGGUCGUUAAUGGUGAUUUUUCUUAAUGUAAUUGUGAUUGAAAAGAAAUUUGAUCAAGGAGUUGAAACUAUAAGCAGAGUCGAUCUUAUUCAACAUUGCAUUAUAAUUUGGUACCCCUCACAGAUCGCUCCAAAUAUCAUUGAAAAGUACUUUCAUUUUCCUUCAGUGGAGGCUUCUUUUUCUUUGCUGGUUAAUAUUCAUAGCUUCAGUGCUUGAUGAAAUUUCGUUACUUUACAUUGUUCACUCUUGUCCCUCCUGCUCUAAUCACAAACAAAUGCUCCAAUAAAUAAGAAUGAUUUGUUCAAGAAAUUUGAAGAUACUUGAACGAUAAAAGAAAAGAAUAGGAGAGAAAGGAAAAGAAAUUCAGAAAGCAAACACUUGGUAGUUUCCAUUUCAAUUAACCGAUCUUUGAAACUAAAAUGUAAUUCUUGGUAGAAUAAAAGAAGACAUGCAACAUCUUAAGAAGAUUCAUCUAAUGGAACAUACAAUGCUACAAUUGGAAACUGAGACUAAACAGUAGUUUUUGGUAGAAUGGAUAUCGCAUGACAAAAAGAAAGUUUUGUAGCUUUGACUGCUUCAAAAUUCUUGUACGUAUAGCCCACAAACCUUUCGAGAUCAUACUUGUUUCUUUAGGCCUAUGAACAUACGGCUCUCACGGAAGAUCUUAUAACUUUAGAAGUUCAUAGUGUCCAUAAAAUCAGAGGAAAAGAAAAGGAUGUAUAGCCAAGUUCAUGAAAAAUAAAGAGAUGGUUUAUUUAAAGUUCACAAGUCUGGGACAUCUAAAACACUUUAAUUGUGUUUGGUUAAGCCUCCAUUUAUGGGGCAAUUCCCAUCAAGUCUAAUGAUUGACCAUCGAUGACUUGAAAAUCGAAGCAUUGGAUGUGCCGCAUGUAGUUGAUGUUGCAUUAUCGAGGGUUGUUAUAUUAUAAAAAGGCAUGAUAAGAUCACGAGUUAUUGACAAAUUACCCGAUCCUAACUUGUCUCAUUUAUAUUAAUUUAUUCUCGUCCAUAUCGUUACAAAAAAUUUUAAAUGAGGAAGGAUGGAUAUGAGAAUUUGUCAUACCUGCCUUAUACCAUUUAUUUAUUUAUUUAGUUUUUUAACAAUUAAAAAUAAACACAUUUUAUAAAUAAAUAAAUAUUAUAAAUUUUAUAACUUAUUUUAUUUAAAAACAUAUAUAUAUUUUAAUUAUUUUAUGUGUUCAAAAGAAGAAAAUGAAAAAACAAUUAAUUAAAUUAUUUUUAAAUUUAGUUAUACAGGUUGGAAAGUGGUGGGUUAGUACAAGGCAUAUCUUGAACCCUGCCCCUAACCAACCCUAGUUUUAAAACAAAAAAAUGUUAAAUACGUAUCUAAUCAGUUUAUCUUCAUUUAAAUAUGUCUUAUUAAAGGUAAGUAUUUGAAAAAACUUGUCUCAUUAUUAUCCUUAAUCAUAAUUUUUUUUAAUUUAAAUUUAUAUACCAACAAACAGUUAAAUUAAAUUAAAAAUUCUUAUGCAAACAAGGGCGAAAAAUUGUGUACCUUCCUUGACAUUCUAGAUCCAGUUUUUGCUGUUUUUGGAGGAUCCACUUGAGGAACAAUUUAAAUUUAUUCACAAAUACAAUUAUUCAAAAAGGCAUUGUACUGAACACAAGCAAAAUAACUACAAAUGUUAAUAGAAAUGGAUGGAAGCAUACAGGUGUAGAGAAUAUAAAAAAGGAUUUUGAAGCCAAAAAUAAAAAAUCAAAAUCAAAAUAAAUAAAAGUAUAUGGUGGUUUAUUAUUGCUCAGGCCUAAUAAUUGAUUGUACAUGUCAAUGGGCCUAAUAUUAUUGCUCUGGCCUUUAUUCUAGAUGUCCAGACCCUGUCACUGCCUGAGUGUGAGGUCAUGGCUCGUUCUCUGUAUAGGUAGGUUCAUACACCUCUAAAACUUGAGUUGGUGGACUACCUUUCCCAGUUCUGAUCUUUCAGAUUCUUUCAUGGGCUUGAGUUGUAGCAUGAGCUUCCCGUUCUCCCCUACCCUGGUCCUAUAGUACUAUUUUUUUUUUUAAACUUGGCCCUAGAUUUUUUUUAGUAUAAAAAGUACUAUUUUGUUGAAUUUAAAAAAAACUCACAGGGAACAUAACCUUUCAAUAAUCCUUUAACCUCUAUCUCUCAAAACUUUCAAAAUCCAUCUUGAAAGUCUCUCUUGACUAAAACAAAUAUUUGAGACUGGCGUUGUAUAUGCUUUAAUAAGGGCUUUGAGGGACUUGCUAAAGAUAUUGAUGACAAUUUUGAGACGAUAAAAUAACACGACUUGAAAAUGAUAUAAAAUUUAAUAGAUUCAGAUUAGGUAUAACAUAUUUAUGUUGUAAUCAUAUCAACUCAUACGACCCGUUUAAUAAAAUGUACGAUUAUCCAACCCCAUAUAGCUUGUUUACUAAUUCAUGCCAAACAAACCAAUUUAUUUAAUCGUAUCAAAAUAAUGUUUAACUCAUAUAAAAUUAUUAAUAUUAUAUAUUUUAAAUUUAUAAAAAAAAAUGCUUAUUAGUUAUAAAUAUGAUAUAGUUAAAAAAUGAAGUAACUAAGUAAAAUUUUAUACAUUUCAUUCUAAAGAUUAAAAUUAUUUUAUCAUUAGAACAUUAGAUAGAAUUAUAAACAAGCCUAAAAUUAAAAUUUUAAUGUAUUUUUAUAUUAUAAACAAUUUCUAAUUUAAAUGUUAUAAUUAAAUUAGUUAAAAUUUUUAAAACUUAAAAUGUAUUUUGAACAAUAGAUUUAUAAAAUUAAAAUUUUAAAUAGGUUAAACAUGUUAAAAUCGUAUUAACAUGUUAAACGAGUUAGAAUCAUAUUAAGCUAACCAUGUUAGAAUUGUAUUAGUAUGUUACACAAGUUCAAAUCGUGUUGACAUAUUAAACGAAUUAGAAUCAUGUUAAUGGGUUUAACGACUAUUAAUAGGUUUCAUAUGUUAGAAUUGUAAUAACAGGUUAUCUAUGUCAAUUUAUACAAAGGUUAACUUAACCUAUCUAUUAAAUUAGUUUUGUUUGAAUUAGGUUAUUUUAACACAAUUCUUAAAUAAAUUGUAUUCCUAUCGAGUAAAUUUUCACUAUUUGUAUCUCAACAUUAUACAAAUCCAACACGUAUAAUAUUACAUAUUGUCACCCCUAACUAAGGAGCAUAUGAGUGUUGCAUCGAGGAAGCAGAAGAGUAUAAAGACUAUUUAUAUAAAAUUUUAGGAAGUAGAAGCAUUCGAUCAAGUAAAGUUGUGUUAACUUUUUUUCAUAGUUAGUGGAUUAUUCAAUAGUCAAGAGACCAACUGUGGUUUUUUACGCCUAAGGAUUUUUAGGUGGGUUCCACAUUAAAUUCUAUAUCUAAUUGUAUAAUUAGAAAUAUCGUGCAUGAGAUUGAUAACAUAUUAGUCAUAAUUGAAUCGGAAUAAAAUAAUUUAUCUUUGGGGUUAAUUGAUUGAACUACCUAUGUAUAUAUAUUUUAUAUUUUCUAACUUUAAAUUAAUUAUUAUGUUGGGAAAUGGAAUAAGGGAAUAGUUGGCUCCAUUUUCAAUCUUGGUAACAUAAUUUGUUGUUGACAUGUUAUUUUAUCUUAUUUGAUAUAUUUUGUAGGAUAAAAAUAUAUAAUCAAGUGCUCUUGUAUGAUUGAUUUAAAUGUUAGAAAAUGUUUUACAAAACAUUAAUUCUAUUUGACUGAUGACAAAAACUUUUAAUUGCCCAACAAUUUUUUAUAAACUUUAAGUUGCUAGCAUUCAUGUGUUAUCAUAAAGUUAUUAAUUAUUUUAUCUAAGUUGAACCAAAAUUCUUGGGUAAAUGAAGAAGUAUUUAUUGACAUACUUGUUUAUAUUAGAAGUUUUUAGUUUGAUUUGUUGUUAAAUUCAAAUUCUUAGUAGCUAGCUUUGAAUACUAGCUAAUUGCAUUGGUUUUUGUUGUAAGUUUGAUUUUUACAUUGUUUUUAGGCAUGAUGUUUAUUAAUUGAAAAUGCUAAUGAUUCGAGAUUAGAAUCAGUCACUCCUUACUAAACUUAUUUUUUUAGGCUAUGUUUGGUAGACCAAAUAUAAUAUAUAAUAGAAUAAGAGAAAAUAUAUUAUAUCAUGUCUCAUCUUUAGUUGAUGAUGAGAUAUGAUAAGUUAUUUCAUUGCUUAUUAUAUCAUAUGUUUAACCAAAUAUGAGAUAUAAGAAGUGAUGAGAUAUAUUAGUCACUCUUUUUUUUUUAAUCUCUUAUACAUAAAAUAUGUCAAUCUCAUACUAAGAUAUAAGAAAUGUAUAUUUCAUAUAUCAUAAAUUUAUUUUUUAUCAAUUUUUUUAUAUAUUUAUUUUGUAAAAUAAUUUUUUUAUUAUAAAAUUAAAUUUAUAGUUAAAAAAAACUAAAAAAAUAUUUAUAAAUAAUAUUAAUAUAUGAUAUAUAGAUUACUUUUAUAUAUUAAAUAACAUAAUAUAAACAUUUUUUAUUUGUAAAAUUUAAAUAUUUUAAUCAUGACUAUUUUUAAACAUAAAAGAAAUUUCAUUUUUUUAAAUGGAAAAUAUUGAAAUGUGAUAUAAUUUUUAUUUUAAACAUUGAAAAUAAUAUAUAUAUCAUAUUAUUUUUAUUCAUUUCAUAAAUUAAAUAUAAAUAUAAUAUAAUAUAUCUCAUUAGAUAUGUCACAUUAGAAUAUCAUAUUCAUAAGAUAUAUAUAUUUAAGGAUAUCAUAUCCUAUUAAAAAUCAUAUUUUAGGAUAUCAUUCUUUUUACCACAAGAGACUUAAACCCAAGUCUAUUUUUAUACCCCUUGAACAAUUACAAGGUUGAACCAUUGGGCUAAGGGCAAUAAUUGCUUUUAAUCGGUAAAAUUUGUAUGUAUACUAUAGUUGCACUGCCUAAUGUAAAGUGUUGGCUCCGCCACUAAGUUGCACCUCAAGCCACCACCAAGUCUCCACAUGAUGCCCUUGUAAGCCUGGAUUAUAACAUUACCUUGGUCAAUAGGCACUUAUGGGUACAUGCUGCAACCCCACGAGACCUUGGUGCCACAUUCUCCAAGUCAAGGUGUUAAUACUCUUCUAUGCUCACAAACUUAAUUUGGUCACCAUUUAUUAACUUAUAAGUCUCUAUAACCAUAAAUAAAAUUUCAAACAUAUUAUUAGAACAAGGCUCUAUAUUUUGGGUUUUGAUAUCCAAUGAGAUAUUAAAUUUUAAGAUAUAUAUAUUUUAUCAAAUUAUAUCCCACCAAUGAAAUGUAAUCUUAGCUUAAAUUUAUUCUCAUUUUUAUUUCUCAUUUUUAUCCAAAAUCCAGGAAUUUACUUUUCUGUUUUAAGGUAAUUCAUUUUAAAUUUUAUUUUAUGUGUAUUAAAAAAAUAAAAGAAAAAAUAAGGAGUGACAUCAAUCAUUAUAAAGCCUGAAUCAAUCCCAAACAUGCAUAAGAAGAUGAUUUAAGUCUUAAAAUAAAAUCCCAAACCUACUUCUGACUAGACUACACGUUUUGAGUCUCCUAUUGGGCCUGGGCAUCCUUGAAAUACCCACCCCCAAUUAUAAUACAAAAGCAAACCGUCGGUAGGGAGAUUUAAACAACAUUUCAAAGACAAAUGAAACCUAUCAAUGCGACUUUGUCUCAUGUUCACAUGUAGAAAGGGACAAAUAAUACAUAAAAACUAAACAUCAUAUACAAUAGCAAUUGUGGAAUAAAGAGGGAAGAGAGUAGGAAGUUACGAAGUGAUGGAGCCUUGGGUAAAAUAAAAUUAACAAUGGCAUUAUCAUGUGCGUGUCUCAACGCUUGAUGGGUUAUAAUUAGAGCCCACUUGAUGCUUAGAAAAAUAUUUUUGCAUGUGGUCUCCAUCUCUCAAUCGAUUAAUCUAUACAAUAUUAAAAAUCCACUUGAUCUUAAUUUAGGAAAAUUAUUUUGUUUUGUUGGUGAUGGCCUGUCUCCCAUCUUAUUCAAGUGUCAACUCUGGACUUUUCAAAUUUACGAAGUGCAGUGUUAAAUCCUUUAUAUGAUGAUAGGAUAUUCUUAGAAAAAGCAAAAUGUAAUAGCAUCUCCUUUAUUUAUUUUUUUUCUUUCAAAAAAAAUGUUAUAAAUUGUACAAGUUACAUGCAUAAUUCAAAAUUAUCAAUAAAAAUUCAAUUCAAUGCCACCAUGACCAAUCAGGAUUGUUCAACGAAUAAUGUAAAGUAUAAUAUAGUGGUGAUGAAUGCAAGCAUAAACCACUGUGGAGCCAAGAUUCACGGGGCAUCAUUGGAGGAGAAAAUUAAAGAAAUGGUGGAGGGUGGUGUAUGCAUAGAAUUAUCAUGGGCACAGUGCGGGGGGCCCAUCUCUUUCCCAAAAGGAAGACAGAAUAAUUGAGCGACCCAGCUUAUGAUAUGAUAUUGCAUCAGGUUAACUUCACCCCAGUCUCAGCCUCUUUGAAUUACCAAACCCUAUUCUCUUCUCUCUUUACUGCUAAUCCUCAUCUCUUUUCCUCUUACUGUGCUCUCCUGAAACUUUUGUAGAUGGUGGCAUAGCUACCUAUACUGAAGUUUUAACUCCGGAGUUUUUGAUUGACAAGGGCAGUGAUUCAUCUGCUCCCUGUACUGCAAACUAUCCCCUCUUUCUUCUAUCUUUGGCUCAACUUCAGUCCUUUUUUCCUUUGAUUUCCCGAAAGCUAUGGAGUUCCUGAGCUCAAUCGUGGGUCUGAUCCCCUGUUUCUAUGAUCACACCUCCGAGCAUACGGUCUACAUUCGUGAUCUGAAAAAAAAUCUCCAAGCCUUGAGCAAGGAAAUGGCGGAGCUCAACAACUUGUAUGAAGAUGUGAAGGCAAGGGUUGAAGGUGCAGAGCAACGACAGAUGAUGCGCAGAAAGGAAGUGGGUGGCUGGAUCUGUGAAGUAGAAGUCAUGGUGACGGAAGUUCAAGAAAUUCUGCAAAAGGGUAAUCAAGAAAUCCAGAAGAGAUGUCUCGGAUGCUGUCCUAGGAAUUGUUGGUCAAGCUACAAGAUUGGGAAGGCAGUAAGCGAAAAGCUGGUUGCUGUAUCUGGUCAAAUCGGCAAAGGACAUUUCGAUGUUGUAGCCGAGAUGCUGCCUCGUCCUCUAGUAGAUGAGCUGCCCAUGGAGGAGACUGUGGGCUCAGAAUUGGCGUAUGGCAGAAUCUGUGGGUUUCUCAAAGAUCCACAAGUGGGAAUUAUGGGAUUAUAUGGAAUGGGGGGUGUGGGCAAAACCACCCUCUUGAAGAAAAUCAACAAUGACUUCCUCAUUACAUCCAGCGAUUUUGAUGUUGUAAUUUGGGAUGUAGUGUCAAAACCGCCCAGCAUUGAAAAAAUUCAGGAAGUUAUUUGGAAUAAAUUACAAAUCCCACGUGAUAUAUGGGAAAUUAAAAGCACUAAGGAGCAGAAGGCUGCAGAAAUAUCGAGAGUUCUGAAAACAAAGAAGUUCGUGUUGUUGUUGGAUGACAUUUGGGAGAGACUUGAUCUGCUAGAAAUGGGGGUCCCGCAUCCCGAUGCUCAAAAUAAAUCCAAGAUAAUUUUCACGACCCGGUCACAAGACGUGUGCCACCGAAUGAAAGCUCAGAAGAGCAUAGAAGUGACGUGUUUGUCAUCAGAAGCAGCUUGGACUUUGUUUCAGAAGGAGGUAGGAGAAGAAACAUUGAAGUCUCAUCCACAUAUACCGAGGCUUGCAAAGACUGUUGCUGAAGAGUGCAAAGGUUUACCUCUCGCUUUGAUUACUCUAGGGCGAGCCAUGGUGGCUGAGAAAGAUCCCUCAAAUUGGGACAAGGUAAUACAAGUUUUGAGCAAAUUUCCAGCUAAAAUUUCAGGUAUGGAAGAUGAAUUGUUUCAUAGAUUAAAAGUCAGUUAUGAUAGAUUGUCUGACAAUGCCAUCAAAUCUUGUUUUAUAUAUUGUUCCUUAUUCUCUGAAGAUUGGGAGAUUUCAAAGGAAGUCCUUAUAGAAUAUUGGAUAGGAGAGGGAUUUUUGGGUGAAGUUCAUGACAUACAUGAAGCACGUAAUCAAGGGCAUGAAAUUGUUAAAAAAUUAAAGCAUGCAUGUUUAUUGGAGAGUUGCGGCUCGAGAGAACAAAGGGUUAAGAUGCAUGAUGUGAUCCAUGACAUGGCUUUAUGGUUAUAUUGUGAAUGUGGGGAGAAGAAGAACAAAAUUUUAGUAUACAAUGAUGUUUCUAGGUUGAAGGUAGCUCAAGAAAUUCCAGAAUUGAAAGAGACAGAGAAGAUGUCAUUAUGGGAUCAAAAUGUUGAAGAGUUCCCUAAAACAUUGGUGUGUCCCAAUCUUCAGACUUUAAAUGUAACUGGUGAUAAGUUGAAGAAAUUUCCAAGUGGAUUCUUUCAAUUUAUGCCUCUAAUAAGAGUUUUGGAUUUGUCAAAUAAUGAUAAUUUCAAUGAGUUGCCUACUGGAAUUGGUAAAUUGGGCACCUUGAGAUAUCUUAAUUUGUCAUCCACAAAAAUAAGAGAGUUGCCUAUUGAACUUUCAAAUUUGAAAAACCUAAUGACUUUGCUUUUGGCGGAUAUGGAAUCCUCUGAAUUAAUUAUUCCGCAAGAAUUGAUAUCAAGUCUUAUAUCUUUAAAGUUGUUCAACAUGAGCAAUACCAAUGUCUUAAGUGGAGUUGAAGAAAGCUUGCUAGAUGAGUUGGAGUCCUUGAAUGGCAUCAGUGAGAUAAGUAUCACCAUGUCUACUACUCUUUCAUUCAACAAAUUAAAGACUAGUCACAAAUUGCAAAGGUGCAUAAGUCAAUUCCAGUUGCAUAAAUGUGGAGAUAUGAUCUCACUUGAACUAUCGUCUUCGUUUUUGAAAAAAAUGGAGCAUUUGCAACGGCUUGAUAUAUCUAAUUGCGAUGAAUUAAAAGACAUAGAAAUGAAAGUGGAAGGAGAAGGGACACAAAGUGACGCAACUCUCAGAAACUACAUUGUUGUAAGGGAGAACUACUUUCACACCCUUCGUCACGUAUAUAUUAUUCUUUGUCCAAAAUUGUUGAACAUAACAUGGCUUGUUUGUGCUCCAUAUCUUGAGGAACUUAGCAUUGAAGAUUGUGAAUCAAUAGAACAAUUGAUAUGUUAUGGAGUAGAGGAAAAAUUGGACAUAUUCUCAAGGCUCAAAUACCUCAAGCUCGAUAGGCUGCCAAGAUUGAAGAACAUCUACCAGCAUCCGCUGCUCUUUCCCUCACUUGAAAUCAUCAAGGUGUAUGAUUGCAAACUCUUAAGGAGCCUCCCAUUCGAUUCCAACACUUCAAACAACAAUCUUAAGAAAAUUAAAGGAGAGACAAGCUGGUGGAAUCAGUUGAAAUGGAAAGAUGAAACUAUCAAGGACUCUUUUAUUCCAUAUUUCCAAGUCCAUGAAGCUGAAGCAUAUUUUGCAGAGGAGUCUGAAACUAGCAGCAUAGAUGAUAGGCAAGAACAGCUGAUAUCAAAUUAAUUUCUAUCCAUCUUUCAGGUAUUAAUUAACUUUGAUUUUAUAUUUGAAAAAUAAUCUUCUUUCCUUACUCUCAUUCUUUUGUGGAAAUUUUUACUUUCCCUACCUCAAAAGUGCAUUAAAAUUUCAAACAUCAUAAUAACUUUCAAUGUUUGAUCUGUAUGGAUUACUUCCAUAAUUUUCAGCCUAAUCCUAAUAACUUUCAAUCUAUUUUUUCCCCUUUUAUAUUCUUUCUCUUCUAUGUUGCUUUGAAUCUUGCAAGAUCCAAACAAAGCUAAAUCUACACCCAUUUCUAUAUCAUGGUCCACCCCUUCCAAAAUCUUGGAUGGGUAAUUCAAUUCUAGUUGUCCCUUGUGAAAUAAUUGUUAUAAAAGGUUUGCCCAGAUGGCACUUUGAAAGAGGUCUGUAGUUUAAAAAUGGGAUGACAUUCCCUUUUGGUUACUUGAGAACUUGAAAAUAAUGCAGAUUUUUAAACUAUAUUAUAUAUUUGUCCUAAUUUUUUUAAUCGAUUUCAAUCUAUAAAUAGAAAUAGAUCAACUUCGAUAUAUUUCAAGCUGAACAACAGGGUUUCACAACUACUAUAGUUAUAGAUAUUCCAUUAAGAAUUAUUGCCUUGUUUGAUGUGUUUACCAGGAUCAACUUCAGUUGCAAGGGUAAUUUCUCUUCUCUUGUUAAGUUACCUCUAUCUGGUUCGCUCUGAUCGGUUUUUGCUUUUCUUUUUCUUUUUUUCAUUUCUCUUUUUGUUGCAUUCAGGGUUGGUGCUUGUUCUAGCAGUUAAGGCAACAACCGGGUUUUGAUCUUCUUUAUAUAGACUGUGUUGCUGCUGUUUUUGCUGAUUGGAGAUGUCCUGCUCUUUUUCCUUCUACUUGGCAUCUGGGUUUAGUCUGAGGUCUCUAGUAUGUUUUAUCAGGGAGGCGUAAAUGCUGAUUCUCAUAGCAUUGAUCUUUCAUGCUGCUGAGACUGCUGGGAAGGUUGGUGUACUUAUGAUGGUCGCAACAUCCUUUUUGUUUCUGGAUCUCAGGAAUUGGAUUCCGUGGGCUGCCUUUGGCUUUUGAUGUGGGGUGGGUCUUGUUUUGUUGAUUUGUUGAGGCUGGUGCAGUGUGGUGGUGGGUUUGAAGCUGCUAGUAUGCUGCUGCUGGGUCAAUGUCGAUGAGAUAUGGAAAUGCUUUUGGCUCUUUGGGCUUCUGCUGGUUGAUUAUGUUUCCCCUGCUUACACAUGUAUUAUCACCAGAUCCUAUGUGAAGAUGGGAUGGAUUGUUUUAAUAAUGAUGGUGUGUGUGUGAUAUAAUCCCAUCAACAUAGCCACAUGCUUUGGUUCAUAUACCCGAGCACCACUUACUUCCUUGAGUUUGAUAUCCCACUGCCAAGUGUGUUGUCCAUAAUGUUGUAGGAAGAGUGUAAAUAAUUUUUAUUUUUAUUUUUGGGAAUUAUUUUUAAUUUAUUUUAUUUUAUUCUAUUAGUCUUAUAUUUUUGGAAAGUGUUCUAUUGAGAAUUAUUUUUUUUUUUUAUCAUUUUUUAUUUUAUUUUAUUAGUGUUAUAUUUUUGGAAAGAGUCCUAUUGGGAUUGUGUAAGUGGAGUCUCAUUCAUUUUAUAAGUAGAUUCCUCUUCCACUUUGUAGUUUCCUAUUAGGACUGUGUUAGUAACCUAUAAAAGCAGGUCACCUCUCUCUCUAUAUGAAUACCAAAUUUUCAGAGAGUUUUCAAAGAGUAUUUUCAUACAUCUAUUUGGAGGAAUUUAUUAAAAACCCGAGUUGUACAUAUAUCGCUUUCAGAGUGCAUCCAAGGUGAGAUUUGGUUGUUGAAUCCUGGAGUUAGACCACUGGUACCCUAGUGCACUGAGUUUGUCUUAGAGGAAGGUGGAUCUAUUUCAAAGACAGUGCUUGUCACGCCUCAGCUAAUAAGUUUUUCUUUUUACUCAUUUUGUUCUUUAUUUGUGUCUUUUGGGCUAGUCUUUUGUUUCCAUACCCUUAAAAUCCAACAAUCUUGAAAUAUAUCCAAAUGGAAGCUUCCCUAGUUCACACUUGUCCUGACACCUCUCAAAUUGAUAAUUUCAAUGGGACUUUCUUUUAGGAAAAGGGUUUUCUCUAAAAUUGAUGUGAUGAACUUGGGACACAUUUUGACUGACCCAAAACCAGAAGAUGGUUCUCAUCUGUUACCAACCUAGGAAACUGGAAAUAAACAAGUUAGGCAUGAUAUUUUGAGUAUCCUUUCUAAUGAACUUUUUGAUAUUUAAUGUCAAUUUAAAGUUGCAAAAGAAAUUUGGAAUGCAAUGAAUAAAAAAUAUAUUUUGGAAGAUGCAGAAACUCAGAAAUAUGCCAUAGGGAAUUUUAGAAAUUUUCAAAUGACUGAGGAUAGAGAUGUAUCAUCUCAAAUCCAUGACUACCACUUGAUGAUUAAUGACUUAGCUAUUGAAGACAUUAAAUUACCCGAACCUUUCGUGGCUGGUUAUUUAGUAGAGACUCUUCCAGAGUCUUGGAAAGACUAUAGAAAUAACGUGAAACAUAAAAGGAAACAAUUGUCCUUAAAGGAUGUCAUAAUCCAUAUUAGGAUUGAGGAACAAAACCGAAAUAGUGACAAUAUUGAGAAAACUAAGGAAUUGUCUUCUAAGGCUAAUGUAGUAGAAGAAAAACCUAAACCCAAAAACAAUAGGUCCAGGAAACAAAACUCUAGGACCAAGCCCAAUGCAUCAAACAAGGUUUAGAACUCAACUAUUAAAAAAUGGGGUAAUUGCUUUACCUGUGGCAAGUCUGGACACCAUGUAGCUUAAUAUCGCCACAGGAAGAGAACCGAGAAGUCCAAUUCAAAGGCAAAUCUGGAGACAAAGGUGAUCACAACAAUAAUCUUCUUUGAGGUGAGCAUGGUCACCAAUAUGAAGGACUAGGUGGUAGACUCUGGGGCUACUAGGCACAUAUGUGGGAAUAGAAGUGCAUUUACUUCCUAUACCACUACAAAGGAAGGAGAUGAACAAGUGUUCAUGGGUGAUUCUAGAUCUACUCCAGUGAUUAGAAAAGGGAAAGUUCUCCUCAAGCUAACCUCUGGAAAAUUGUUUGCCCUCUAUGAUGUUCUUCAUGUGCCAGAUAUCCGUUGGAACUUGGUGUCGGUAUCUAUGCUUGGAAAAGCAAGAGUGAGGAUCUUGUUUGACUCUGAUAAAAUAAUUUUAACCAAGAAUGAUGCAUUUGUGGGAAAUGGCUAUGUAAUCAAGGUUUAUUUAUGUUGAAUGUUUAGGAUAUUAUCAAUAAUAAUGCAUCUUUUUCUUUUGCUUACAUAGUUGAUUCUUGUGACAUUUAGCAUGGUAGACUAGGACAUGUGAACUUUUCAUUUAUGAAGAAAAUGGUUGAAUUGAGUUUAAUCCCUAAACCGUCCUUAGAAAACCAUGGAAAAUGUGAAUCUUGUGUAGAAUCUAAAAUCACAAAGGAAUUUUGCAAAUUAGUUGAAAGAGAAUCAGAUCUACUAAGUUUACUACAUAGUGACUUAGGAGACCUAAAAAAUAUAAUGACUAGAGGUGGUAAACAAUUCUACAUAACUUUCAUAGAUGACUACUCAAGGUAUACAAGGUUAUAUCUUUUGAGAAACAAAGAUGAAGCAAAAGAUGUUUUCAUCAAAUACAAAAAUGAAAUGGAAAAUAAACUAAGUAAGAAAAUUAAAAGACUUAGAACUGAUAGGGGAGGAGAGUAUGAGUCCAACCCCUUUAAUUCUUUUUGUGAAGAUCAUGGGAUCAUUCACAAAACUACUCCUCCUUAUUCCCCUGAGUCUAAUGAGUAGUAGAAAGGAAAAAUAAGACCUUAAAAGAAAUGAUGAAUGCAAUGUUGGUAAGUUCAGGAGCACCCUUGAACUUGUGGGGGAAAGUUAUCCUAUCCGCAUGUCAUAUUCAAAAUAGAAUACCUUACAAGAAAAUGGGUAAAACUCCUUAUGAGUUGUGGAAGGGUUAUGCACCUAAUAUAGCAUACCUAAAAGUGUGGUAGCUAAAGUUCUUCUCCCUGAACUUAAAAAACGAAAACUAGGUCCUAAAACCUUUGAUGCAAUGUUCAUUGGCUAUGCUGAGAAUAGUGUGGCAUAUAGGUUUCUUGUUACUAAGUCAGAAAACAAUCUUGUAAAUGUCAAUACUAUAAUAGAAACAAAGAAUGCAAAUUUCUUUCAAAACAUCUUUCCUAUGAAACUAAAUGGUGAACAAGUCUAGAAAACAAGUAGAUACAAGUCUAUUGAACCUUCUGAACUUGAACCUAGAAGAAGUAAAAGAGCUAGGAAAGAAACAAACCUUGGAAAUGGUUUCUACACCUUCCUAAUAGAUGAGGACCUUAAAUCCUACAAAGAAGCUAUAACUUCUCCUGAUGCACCAUUCUGGAAGGAGGCCAUUAACAGUGAAAUCGAUUCAAUCAUGUAUAACCAUAUAUGGGAGUUGGUAGAUUUACUUUCUGGUGCAAAGACUAUUGGUUGUACGUGGAUUUUUAAAAGAAAGUUAAAACAAGAUGGCUCUAUAGAGAAGUAUAAAGCUUGUUUAGUUGCCAAAGGCUUUAAACAAAGGAAAUAUGUAGAUUACUUUGACACCUUUGCCCCUAUGACUAGAAUAGCAUCAAUUAGAGUAUUGAUUGCUCUAGCUCCCGUUCAUAAGUUGGUGGUACACCAAAUGGAUGUCAAGACUGCAUUCUUAAAUGGGGAUUUGGAAAAGGAAAUUUAUAUGGAUCAACCUGAGGGUUGUGUAAUUCCAAGGAAGGAGAAAAAGGUGUGUAAAUUGGUUAAAUCACUAUAUGGGUUAAAACAAGCUCCUAAACAGUAGCACAACAAGUUUGAUCAUGUGUUAGUAACUAAUGUAUAUUCCAUUAAUAAUGCUGAUAAGUGUAUCUACAACAAGUAUGAGGAUAACACAUGUGCAGUCAUCUGCCUUUAUGUUAAUGACAUGCUGAUCUUUGGAACUAGCCUAAAGGUUGUGUGUGAGACCAAGAAAUUCGUAUGUUCUAAGUUUGAUAUGAAAGACCUAGGAGAGGCAGAGGUGAUUCUAGGAAUUAAAAUAACUAGAACACCUAAUGGGCUUAAACUUUCUUAAGAGCACUAUGUUGAGAAGAUCCUAAGGAAGUUUGAACACUUUGAUUGUAAACCAGUGUCAACUCCUUAUGAUCCCAUCUCACAGCUGAAGAAAAUAGAGAUAUGCUCAGAUCAUAGGGAGCCUAAUGUACUUAAUGAACUGUACCAAACUUGACAUUGCUUAUACAAUAGGUAAAUUGAGACAGUACACCCAAAGUCCUAAUCAAGACCAUUGGAUUGUUGUUCGUAGAGUCCUUAAGUAUUUGAGAGGCACCAUUAACUACGAUUUGUGCUUUAGUGGAUUUCCAAGUUUCCUUGAAGGAUUUAGUGAUGGAAAUUGUAUAUCGGAUUCAAAUGAGAUGAAAUCUAUUAGUGGAUAUGUUUUCAUCCUUGGUGGAAGUGCAGUUUCUUGGAAGUCUGCCAAGCAAACUUGCAUUACUCGGUCUACUAUGGAAGCUAAGUUUAUUGCCUUAGAAAAGACAAGUUCUGAGGUUGAGUGGCUUAGAAACCUCUUAGUAGAUAUCCCUUUAUGGACGAGACCAACCCCGUCUAUGUCUAUGCAUUGUGAUAGCCAAGCUACAAUUGCUAAGGCUAAGAGUAAAAUAUUAAAUGGGAAAAACAAACAUACGCCUAAGGCACAAUAUUGUGCGGCAGAGGCUUGAAACAAGGGUUAUAUCCCUAGAAUUUGUGAGGUCAAAGUUGAACUUGGCCUAUCCUUUGACCAAACCACUAAAUAAGAAACUAGUGGAAGAAACAUCGAGGGGAAUGAGACUUAUGCCUUUUACAGAAGUCAAGAGUGGUGGUAGCCCAACCUAUUAGAAUGGAAAUUCCAUGAAAUAGGUUCAUAUAGGUAAUAACAAAUCACUUGUUGACUUGAGGUGCUCUAUCAACUCUAAUUGUAUGAGAGUCCAUCCCUAUGGUGUAGAUAAAGUGUAUUCUGCAUUGACUAAGGUUGAGUGUUUACUCUUAAUGAAUAUCAUAUUCCUUAUGGAUGGUAUGUUUAAAUGCAGAACAUACUUGAUGGAUUCACCUAUAUGAGAGUAGAGGUGGGGCCGCUUCCUAUGAGAACUUAGGCAGGUUCUCUAGAGCUCUCAUGAAUAUCCAGGUAGGGUGCAUGGCCUAUUUGUGCCAACCCAUUUUGUACAACUCGUAGUGUAGUUGAGAAAACCAAUGUGGAUAAAAGUCUCUUGAGUUAUAUAAAGAAACACUGGUUCAUAGAAAUUUAUUUUCACCAUGUUUUGUGAUUCAAUACUUAUUUGUCCUAAGACUGGUUCAUAUUCUUUGGGCACUAGUACUGAUGCAUUGGAUUCUUUUUUCCUAAAAAAAAAAAACUAUGUUUACACUCUGUGGGGGAUUAUCGGAAGAGUGUAAAUAAUUUUUAUUUUUAUUUUUGGGAAUUAUUUUUAACUUAUUUUAUUUUAUUUUAUUCUAUUAGGCUUAUAUUUUUGGAAAGUGUUCUAUUGAGAAUUAUUUUUUAUUUUAUUAUAUUUUAUUUUAUUCUAUUAGUGUUAUAUUUUUGGGAAGAGUCCUACUAGGAUUGUGUAAGUGGAGUCUCAUUCCUUUUAUAAGUAGAUUCCUCUUCCACUUUGUAUAAUCUUCUAAUUACAAGUAGUUUCCUAUUAGGACUGUGUUAGUAGCCUAUAAAAGUAGGUCACUCCUCUCUCUAUUUGAAUACCAAAUUUUCAGAGAAUUUUCAGAGAGUUUUAGGGAGCAUUUUCAUACAUCUAUUUGGAGGAAUUUAUUAAAAACCCGAAUUGUACACAUCUCGCUUUCAAAGUGCACCCAAGGCGAGAUUUGGUUGUUGAAUCCUGGAGGUAAACCACUGGUACCCUAGUGCACCAAGUUCGUCUUUGAGAAGGGUGGAUCUAUUUCAAGGACAAUGUUUGUCACGCCUCAGCCGAUAAGUUUUUCUUUUUACUCAUUUUGUUCUUUAUUUGUGUCUUUUGGGCUAGUCUUUUGUUUCCAUACCCUUAAAAUCCAACAAAUGUUAUGUUGUGUAAACAAGUUUCACCCAUUGUGGAUUGAAAUGUUUAACAUUUGAGGUUGUUAAUGGUGAUUUUUCUUGUUAUAAUUGUUAUAAUUGUGAGAAAAACAUUGACAAUUAUGUCAUUUUUCAUUUGGGAGUAUUUAGAUCUCCAAACAGCAACUUGACUGAACAUGACCGCAAAAUUCAUCCACUACCACCACUUUCCUCCACCUGCAACUCUUCAAAUCCAACAUGUACGGCACGUAGGCUUCACCAAAGCUUUUGCAACCAAUCACUAACAACUUCCCCUCCCAUGUUGUCAUGUAAGCUGUGUGGCGAAUCUCAGCUAGCAUCUUGGCUACUGUCUGCCAUCAGGAGUUCUGCAGUGCCACCACCUUACCAGCAUGGCACAUGUACAUCCCCAUAUCACCACCGUCCACGCAGGUUCUCGGGCAUGUGCUGGCUUCCAGGAAAUCCUCCUCUACAUUGUCCCACUGCCAGUUGGCAAAAUCAAAGGCUUCUGCGCUCCUCUUGAACCUGCCUUGCAUCUCUAUGCAGUACCUGCCAAUGACAUGGAACUUACCACGGUGGAAAAACUAUUUGCAUUCAUCGCGCUCCCUUGCCAUGUCAUGAAGCGGGCCCACUCAUCAUUUGCCACGUCAUACACCAACGCAGGCCUCAAUUCGUCACACAUCAAAAUAAUCAAAAUUCAUAAUGCAACCUCCAAAAUACAUUUUAUCAUUUGCCUUCUCAUCCCCAAAAAUUCAAAAUAAAAAAUUCCACAUAAUCAAUACUUUAGUGACUAUUAUAUUUUUCAUGUUUUGGAUUUUAAUUCUUUUAAUUCAUUCUAUCUUCAUUAUUUAAGCCCAAGUUCUACUAUUAGUAAAAAUAAACUAAUAUAUAUAUAUAUAUAUAUAUAUGUAUGUAUACUUUGGUGACUUGCAUGGAGGUUAGCAACUGCACUACUCUAUCACAUGGCCCAUGAAAGAUAGGUAGAUGUGAUGAAUCGAUCAAGUUUUGGAAUCCUAGUCCUUGCUAAUGGGGGACAUAAGGCACAUGGAUGAUUUGGAAGAGAGGUGCUGAUGGGGUGCUUUCUACUGAGUCUCUCCUUGAGAAUCCAACUCUCUUUGCUAGAUUCCAGACUGUUGAAUGGGCUCUGGGUGGUGAAAAAGGCAAUUGAUGGGUCAAAGCCAAAUAAGCCUUUCCACCAUCACCACUAACAAAACCUACACCUUUGCAAUAUGGGCCACACUUUGCAGGCCACCUUUGGCAUGCAAUCCCACUUCCACAUUUCAUCCUUUUUAAUUCUUCAUAUUUUGAUAUCAAAGUUUAAUUUUCCAAAUUUUCAAUUUUCAAAUUUAAUUUCCAAAACUUCUAUUUUCAAAUAAUUGUCCAAAAUUCUGAUUUUCAAAUAAUUUUCAAAACUUCAAUUCCUUAAUUUAAUCUUCAAAACUCCAAUUUCUUUCAAAAUUAAUUUUCAAAACUCCAAUUCUUAAAUUUAAUUUUUAAAACUUCAAUUUUCAAUUAAUUUUCAAAACUCCAAUUCUUAAAUUUAAUUUUUUUAAACUCCAAUUUUCAAAACUCCGAUUUCUUUCAAAAUUAAUUUUCAAAACUCCAACUCUUAAAACUAAUUUUCAAAAUUCCAAUUCUCAAUUAAUUUUCAAAACUUCAAUUUCUUUCAAAUUUAAUUUCCAAAAUUCCAGUUCUUAAAUUUAAUUUUCAAAACUCUCAUUCUCAAAUAAUUUUUUAAAUUUUAAAUUUUUAAAUUUAAUUUUCGAGACUUCAAUUUUCAAAUAAAUUUUAAAACUAUAGUUUUCUUUCAAAUAGUUUUAAUUCCACUCCAAUUUUCAAUUAUUUUUUAAUUCUACAACAUUUCAUCCUUUAUUAGGGUUUUAGGUCAAAAAAUCUCGUUUUUAAUAAACUUGCUACAUUUCCCUUCAGGUAAGAACUUUUAUAAAUUUUCUUUGAUUUUUCAGAUAAUCUUUCGUUUCUCUUGAUUUUAAAUAAGCAUGAAGACAAUUUUCAUAAUUAAAAAACAAUGGAAUUUGUGGGAUUAAUUCAUGCAAAAAUCAAUCGAGCUUUGAUGGGGACCCAACAUUCAUAAGAUUUUUUUUGAAAAUAAUUCAAGUGAAUUGCAUAAUUGAUAUUGUUCGAUUUUGAUUGGUUUUGUGUGACAUGUUUUACACUUAUCAUUAUGCACUAACCCCGUUUCAUUGAUAGCACAUCUUUACUUGUUACUAAGGUACGAUCUCACUUCCACUUCACUUAUUCUCAUGCAUGAUUCAUUUUAUUAUUUGAUCAUUUUAUUGGUAUCCAUUGAUUUUCUUAUCCAUUGUCACACUUGCUUCACCUUAUUUGGUAGGGACCUGUUUUUAGGGACUUAGAGGGGUGCUAUGGUCUUUUUACUGUAUCUUCCCAAUAAGUAACUUGACCAUCGGACCCGACUUGAUUUUUCAGACCUGUUUUUUCAAAUAAGGAGUCACACUUAGGGUUUUCUUUCUUAUUUUGUUUUCCCUUUAAAAAUAAAACAAAAAUAAGUGGCGACUCCAAGUCUUUUCUAAAAAUCAUAUUUUUCACCAAAUAAAUAAAAAACGAGUUUUGUCAUCGAGUGGGAACACAUCGAGCAAAAAUACGGGUUCCACAACAUGCUUCCAAGCUUUGAAAAUGCUAAAGGAUUCAAGUAGAGAUGAAAAUGAGACAAGUUCAGGAUGAGUCAACCUCAUUCCAAUCCCACCCCAUUAAUUGAUAAUAUUUUUCAUCCUUGUUUCAUUAAAAAAAAAAAAAAUUAAAAGGGAUGGGAUAGAGCAAAUUGAAAAAUUUUCAAUUAUAUUAAAAUAAAAAUAUAUUUUAUAAAUAAUUAAAAUAUUAUCAUUUUUUAUAACUUAUUUUAAAAGUAUUUUACUAUUAUUAUAUAUAUUAAAAAUAGGAAAUAAAAAUUAAAUUAAAUGUUAAACUUAAUUUUAUAUAUAAUUGAAGUGAGACCUACGACACAAAAUAAUACUUGAACCCAUCCCAAACUCGUCUCGAAUUUAAAAAAAAAAAAAUUAAACUUAUCCAUUGUUUAUUUAAAUUUCAAACCUAUUUUAUUAAAAACGAGACAGGGAUGAGUGCUUGAAAAAAACUCAUCUCAUUGCCAUCCUUAAACUCAAGAAAUAAAAAUUUAAAUUCUAAAAGGAAAUGUCCAUUCUUAAUAUCAUCAUUGAAAACAAAUUACUUAAGCCUAUCAAACAUCCAAGUCAGCAGGAUUUAUUCCUAAGAAAAAAUGAUGCUCAAUUCUAGUUAUCGUGGAAUGAGCCACUUUCCCGGUAAAUGGAAAUUACCCAAUAUUUCAUUAAAGUGAAAUCUCUUAUCGAAAAGUUAAAAUUAAUUAGUAGAGAUUGAAACAGCCAUUAUUAUUCAUAGUUUAUAGCUCAAAUAUAAUGAGUCUAUUUCUGUAAUUGGAGGAAUGACCAAUUUACUAUUGAAAACCAAUUCAAAUAAUAGAUAUUCAAAUAUAAGCGCUUCAUUUAUUGUUUACUAUUGAAAAACCGAUAAUUCUAUAUAUCAUUGAAAAAUGCAAUUCAAUGCUUUCAUGUACAAUAUAAUAUAGUGCUGAUGAAGGCAAGCAUAAAAUCAUGGAGACAGGGUCUGGAGCCAAGACUAAAGGGGCAUCAAUACGCGUCUUUGUCAAGAAGGGAGAAAUCAAAGAAAUGGUGGAGCCUAUACAUUGAAUUAUUGACAGAAUUUUGUGGGGACCCAUAUCGAGAAAAAUAUUCUUUCAAUAUAUAUAUAGAUAUUUUAUAUUUUUUAAUUCUAAAUUAAUUUUUAUGUUGGGAAAUUGAUACGAGGGAAGAGUAGUUGUGAGUAGAAUUAUUAAAGUUGUAUAAACAAGUGGCAAUCUUGAUACGUGAGAAUGAUAAAAAUUAUACAAAUUUUAGCAAGUUUGGGUAAGGUAUCAUUAUAUUCGAGUAAUAAUCAUGUCAACUUGUAUAACUUAUUUAAAGUAUUUAAAGACAUUUAUGAGACGGAUUUGCAUUGUCUAAUUUUAGUUCUUAUUGAAGAACAAAUUACUAUCAAUUUCACGAGGACAAAAUUAUAAUUAGUCAAAUUAUUUGAAAGUGAAAUCUUAAAAAUAAAAACUUUCAAUUAAAUUCGAAAACUAAAACUAUUAAGUAAAGAGUUAAAAAACUAUCGAGCAGAGCUUAAAAUUCAAAUAUAAUGCAUUUAUUGUUGUAAUUCAAGCCAAAUAUUUAUUAUUGAUUAUUAUAAAUAUAAUUUUAUAUCCAUUUUUUAUAUUUAAGAUAAUUUAGCACAUUUGAACAAUAUUUUGAGAAUAAGAUUGGAGCAUCUAAUUUGACUAAUUGGAUAGCAAAUCAAACUAAUCAAAUCUUAUUUUCAUAUUUAUCCACCUUCAAUUCUAAGAUAAAUAUGAACAAAAGUCUUUAUAUGUUUAUAACAAUAUAAACAAUAUAAACACAAAAAUAAUGAGUAUAACAUUAAAUAACAAAAAAUUUAUUUCAGCCUUGGAUAUAUUAUUAUAUACGUUAUAUAUAUGUUAGUAAAAUUGGAAAUAUUAAUACAUUCAGUAUAUUAAAUAAUAAAAUUACAAGUUUUUUGUUAUUAUUCAUAUUUAAUUAAUAAAUUUUAAUUAAAUCUAAAAUAAAAACUUUUACACAAAUUAGUAUAAAACCAAGUGUGGUCAUUAUAAAUCAACCCUAUAAAAAAGACUUAAAUCUAUAGAAGUCUAAGUAAAUAAAUGAGAAAUAAUGUUAAAAGAUAUGUAUAAAAAAAAGAAUCAUUGUUUAGUAUCUUGAUUAUUUAUAUAAUUUUAACUUCGUGUAUUAUUUUAAAUUUUAAUAAUAUAUGAAUUAUAUAUGCAUAUUGUCAUGCUGAUAUCAUGUUUCAAUUACUUGAACCAUCGGUUCAAUAAAAUAAAAAACUCUAAUGUAAUAAUUUUUCAAUUUAGUGACUAAUUAAUAAGAUUUUCAUAAUAUCGUAUUUGAAAUUUCAACACAAAAAAUGAAUAUGAAAAAUCAUAAAACUCUUACAAAGAAAAGUGACUUCAUGAAAAUAUGGAAACCCUAAACCUUAAUUUCUUCAAUAAUGCCUAUCAAAAUUCUUAUGUUUAGGCAAUAUUAUGAGAGAACCAAUAAUCUCAUCCACAAAUCCAACAUAGUCAAUGGUCAAUUCUUAUGUUUACGAGAUAUAUAUACCUUGUAUAGUUUAUGUAUCUUUUGGAAAGUCAUGUAUAUAUUUAAAUGUUGUAAUGUAUAUCUUGAAUAAUAUACUUUUGACCAUUCAUUUAUUCAAUACUCUUGUAAAGAAAAAUGACUUUAUGAAAAUGUGGAAACCUCAAACCUCAAUUUCUUCUAUAAUGCUUAUUAAAAAUUUUGCAAUUGAAAGUUGUGUAAUCAAGGAAGCUAACAAUGCAAGGUUAGAACUAGCCACUCCUAACCAGACUUAUUCUUCUACAUAUGCCCAUCUUCAUCUCAAGUCAGUUUACUUUUCUAUUUUAAGAAAAUUAAUUAUUAUUUUUAUUUUCAUGUAUUGAAAAAAGUAAAAGAAAAAAUAAGAUUAAGCACUGUUAAACCUCAAUCAAUCUCGACAUAUAUGUGAGAAGAUAAUUUAAAAGUGUAUUUGACAAUAUUUUAUUUUGAAGUAUUUUUAAUUUUAAUAAAAGUAUUUUUUUUUAGAAAUGAUUUUGAGAUAAUUUUAAAAAAUGUUUUUAGUUUUUCUAAUACUUGAAAAAUAAAAAAAUUUAAGUGUUAAAAAUAUUAAAAAUAUUUCCUAAAAUCACUAUUAAAUGUACUUUAAGUGUUUCUUCAAAAAGUACCAUAAAUAAUAUUUCGUAUGUUUAAAAAUGUUUUCUGAAUUUUAUUAAAUACUUGAUUUUUCUUAAAAAAUAUUUUUUAAGCUAGAAGUGAUUUUUAAAAACACUAUUAAAUGGCCCCGUAAGUCUUAAAAUAAAAUCCGCAUAAGACUACUACAUGGACCUUCAAUGAGUCUUUGUCUCAUAAUAAAUAUUUUGUUAUGUUCACAUGUAGAAGGGACAAAUAAUACUUAAAAACUAAAAAUCAUAUACAAUAGAAAGUGUGGAAGCAAGAAGGAAUAGAGUAGAAGUUGCGAAGUGAUGGAGCCUUGGGUAAAAUAAAAUUAAUAACGGCAUUAUCAUGGGAGAAUUGUGUUUUGAGCUUAGCUGGUCCCAAAAAUUAAGUUCUAGUCCAUGUAACUUACCUAAUUAAUGGAAAGGAUAUCAAAUAUUAACAGACCAAUAUGCCCUUUACAUUUCCAACUCAAAUGGUUGUAAAUUAAUGGGUUUCACAGCAAUUAAACUUGAAAUGUCAUGUCACCUGAUUGAAAAUUAUGAAAUAAAGGCCAUAAGGGUCACCACCCUCCUACCCCUUUCUCUCUCUCCGUAAACAACAUACUCACAAACGAUGAUGACUGUGACUGCCCCCCAAUCGGUUUUUUCAGCAACCAAGGAUUGUGAGCAUUUUAGAAAAGCCUUUGUAGGUAUUUUAUCAUCAUCAUUCCCAAAUCCAAGGGAUGGGGGGUUUGAAUUAUUUUCUCACGUUUUGAUUUAAUCAGGUUGGUUCUUUGAUGAUGUGUUGGAUAUUUGUUUACUGGGUCAUUACAAGGUUUUAGGAAAGGCAAUUGUUUUGAUCUCGUGUUAGGGUGUUUAAAAAAAAUUUGAACUUAAUAACAUAGCGUUUUUGGAUGUAGGGUGGGGGAUAAAUGAGGUUUUGAUCAUAUCCAUCUUGGCUCAUAGGAAUGUAUCACAACAUAAAUAAAUUCAAGAAACUUACAGUGAAUCUUAUGGAAAAGAUCUCCUCAAAAAUGGCAUUUCACCUGUCUGAAAAAUUUUCACUUUAGCAUUUGCUUGUUGGGUUUAUCGUCCAAAGAGAAGAAAUGGGUAUCAUCCAAAUGCUGAGCUUUGGGGAAGAAGAUUCUCCGGUGAUGAUGCAAUUCAUCCAUAAUAGCUAUCCUUCGAAUCAAACAUAUUUCAAAAGCAGAGAAGUUGGUCCACCCGACGAAACGAAGAAAAUGAAUAACUCCAAUGAAGAUAUAAAGCGGCUACAAUUGUGGUCGUGAUGAUGGCAGUGGCCCAACAACCUCCUGUGAAUAUGGAAAUAUGCUAAAUAGGGUAUAUGCCCUAUUUUGGGGUAAGUAUAUUUUCUAGAAUUCGAACCUAGGUUGAUGGAGGAUUGAGUGUGUUUUUAUUAUGUUUAGGGAUGAAUUAUGACAUUUAUAUUUGUGAAAAUUAUUCUGCUAUGAUCCAAAGCACAACCCUAUUAAUUAUAUGAUUGAAACUCCUUUAUGUUUGAGUAGAAGAUUAAUAAUAUGAUUGAGAAAACAAAGGCUAUGCUUAAUUAAGAAAAACACUCAAAAGGGGGGGGGGAGGGGGGUGAAUUGGGUUUUUUAAAAUCUUUUCAACACAACAAUUUCAAGCACAAUAUAAACAAAAAUAAAGAAAUAGAGUUAUAGAAUUCAAACUCGGGUUUUAUAGUGGUUCGGCACUUCCUUGCCUACGUCCACUCUCCUUAAUCUCCUAACCGAGUGAGGCUUCCACUAACUUGAAGCUUCAACCAAGCUUCCAAUAUUCUUACACUUGGAUUCUGACUCCAAUGGGCUCUUACACAAUCUCUUCAAGAUUCAAACCUCUUGAAGGCUUUAACACUCAGUUUUUACAAGAAUGAAUCACUCAACCUAACUCAAAGAUAGCUCAAAUACAAAACAAAGAUAAGAUGACUCACAAGAGCGCACUAAAGGAUAUGCAAGUGAUGAUUUAAUGCAUUAAGAAGGAAAUGAGAGCUUUUUGGUUAAGAACAGGUAGGUAGAAAAUUGAAUUCAAGUGUUCUCUCUAUCGUAAAUGAAGCAGAGCUCUUAAUUUAUAGGUUUCUAAGCUCGGGAGCCAAAAACAGCAAAAGAUAGCCUUAAUCGAUUGAACUGAGGGUCGAUCGUAUCACUAGCCGUUGAGCAUUUAAUGCUUUGAUAGGUUACCGUUACCUCAAUCAAACCUCGACCGGACAUCAACUAGAGGUCGACCAGGAAUAGGAGAACCUCAAUCAGGAAGAGGAGGCUAUUGGAUGAGAGAGAGUGUUUUUGGCACCCCUUGACUGGACCUCGAUCGGACAAGGGCAACCAGUCGACCGGUUCCCCAACCGAUUGAGCCGGUUGGCCAUAGCCUAGACCGGUUCAGCCUUUUGGCCCCGAAAACCUACCUUUUUCAAUUCCUUUCUUUUCUAACUCUUAGGCAAGGUAUUUAGGUGAAUUAAUAUGCCAAUUUAAAACAUUUUGCCUAAGGUACAUUUGAUAAAACUCGGGUUUUAAUGAAAAUGAAAGUUUAAAUGAUAAACCGAGUUUUCAAAGAUGUAUGAAAUGGUAUGAAAAACUUAAGUGCACCCAUGCAUUCAUCUUACAUUCUUUUCCUAUUAUCAAAAGUCUUCCAAAAGUCUCGGUCUUGUAUCAAUUUGGUCAUUUGAUAAAUUUCUGAAUCUAUACCUAAGAUUCUUUACCAUUCAAAUCAAUUAGUCACUUAACCAUGGUUUGUUAUCAUCAAAACCCGAUUAGGAGAACCCUUGGGCUAACAAUAUGACUAGUAGUUAGGGAACAAAUUGAUACUUUAGUUUUUCCUUAUUUUAUGAACCAAAAGAUUGCAUACAUGAUUAACCUAUGCAUGAGCAGACAUUCAGUAGUGGUUGUGUGGAAGUUAUGUCUCUGUACAAGACAUUUACAUUAAGUGUACAAGGUACAUGUGCUUACUGUACAAGAGUGUACAAAGGUAACUAUGUUGAAGGAUUUGCAAUCCUUUUAAAAUCAUUUCCAUUUUGAAAGGAUGAAGAACAUUCUCUCACACAUUCCUUGAUCACACACUCAUCCCAUUCAAUUUUAUUACUUCAUACAUGUUCAUUGGAUGACCUACCACAGUAAUGAUGAAUAGGAACCUAUAUUGGGUUUCACUUCCCCCUUUUCCCUUAGGCAUUACAUUGGAACAUGGUAGCUCACCCAUAUGCACGCUUUUAGUUGUAGCUAUGUCAAAUUUUUGCCAUUGUAUAAGACAUUUACACUAAGAAUGUAAAUGUGCUAACUAUACAAGUGUGUACAAAGCUAUCUAUCUUGAAGGAUUUCAAAUGCUUUCGAAAAAAUUGUUUGCUCGUUUCUUUUUUCUAAGGGGGAUAUUCCACAUAGUCAUUCUUCAUUUCCCUUCGUACACAUUCAUUGUAUGAGCUAGCACACUUAUGAUGAAUAGAAACCUAAAUUAGGUUUCAUUUUCCCCAUUUUCACUCAGCCAUGACAUUAGAAUGUGGUUAACCCGCCCGUAUGCACUAGUUCAGUUGUAGGUAGGUCAAAUUUCUGCAAUUGUACAAGGCAUUUGCACCAAGUGUACAAGGCCAAUGUACUAAAUGUACAAAGGUGUACAAGGGUGUCUAUCUUAAGGGAUUUCGAGUGAUUUUGAAGAACUUACUUAUUUACUUUUUCUAAUCGUGGGAGACAUUCCUCACACGUAUUGCUUGAAAACACACUCAUUGCAUGCAUUUUAUUUGAUGUCUACCAUGUAACUUCAUUCUAUUAACUUCCCUAGUAAUUAUGAAUAUGAACCGAAAUGAGGGUAAACUUUUUUCUUCUUUUCUCUAAUCCAUGAGAAUGGAAACAUUGCUUACCCACCCAUUUGCACUCGUUCGGUUGUACCUAUGUGGGAUUUCAUGACUGUACAAGGCAUUUACACUAAGUGUACAAUGCAAAUGUGCUAACUAUACAAGUGUGUACAAGACUACCUAUCUUGAAGGAUUGUAAAUACUUCUGAAAAAAUUGUUUGCUCAUUUCUUUUUUCUAAGGGGGACAUUCCUUAUAGUCAUUCUUCAUUUUCCUUCGUACACAUUCAUUGUAUGACCUAGCGCACUUAUGAUAAAUAGGAACCUAAAUUGGGUUUCAUUUUCCUCCUUUUCACUCAACCAUGACAUUGGAAUGUGGCUAACCCGCCCAUAUGCACUAGUUCAAUUGUAGCUAGGCCGAAUUUUUGCAACUAUACAAGGUAUUUACACUAAGUGUACAAGGUCAAUGUACUAAAUGUAUUUUGGUUUUUUUUUUUUUUUUUUCAUAAUCAGCAAAGGCUAUUUUUGGAAAUAAUAAAAGUGCAUAUUCUCCUUCUCAAUUUUGACACUUCUUAAAGGUUUUGAGCUUAAAUAGUUUAGUUACAUGGACUAAAACACAAUUCUCCCCAUUAUCAUGUGUGUCUCAUUGUUGGAUGGACCAAAUUUCGCUUCUCCCAAAGAUCUUUGAAUAUUAUAAUGAGAGCCCACUUGAUGCUUCCAAAAAUAUAUUUGCAGGUGGACUCCAUCUGUCAAUCCAUUAACCUAUACAAUAUUAAAAAUCCACUUGAUGUUAUUUAGGAAAAUUAUUUUAUUUUGUUGGUGAUGGCCUGUCUUCCAUCUUACUCAAGUUUCAACUCUAAGACUUUUCAAAUUAACAAAGUGCAGUGCAGUGCAAUGAUUCAUUUUUCUUCUUUCCUCUAUCUUUGGCUCAACUUCAGUCCUUUUUUUCCUUUGAUUUCCCGGAAAGCUAUGGAGUUCCUGAGCUCAAUCGUGGGUCUGGUCCUCUGCUUCUAUGAUCACACCUCCAAGCAUACGGUCUACAUUUGCGAUCUGAAAAAAAAUCUCCAAGCCUUGAGCAAGGAAAUGGUGGAUCUCAACAACUUGUGUGAAGAUGUGAAGACAAGGGUUGAACGGGCAGAGCAACGACAGAUGAUGCGCACAAAGAAAGUGGGUGGGUGGA
rnacentral:lncRNA from 1 species